rnacentral:lncRNA from 1 species
UUUUUUGUAUGUGCCAAACAUUAAACCUUCAAAUAAAUAUCCUGUUUUGUAUGCUCGAAUAGCUCAUGUAUCAACUAGGGAUGUCUGUAUCUUCCAUGUUAGGCGGGUUAUUCUCAAGAGGAGUGGACUCCGCUCCUCACUCACGAGAUAAAUGGCUGGUCACCAGGAUGCCCAGUCCCAUGCUUUAUGCAAACUAAAUCAAAAUAAUUGCAAACAAAACUCCCCCUGGGACUCUUGUUAGUUGGAGGCACUUGUUGUUUCAAGCAAGCCAUGGAUUGAUGCUUGUUGGUGGAAGGGUGAGUAUAAACUUUACCAUUCUGUUUGGGAACCGCCUAUAAUGUGUGUAGCAUGGAAGAUAUCGCCAUCUCUUGGUUGUUAUGUUAACAAUGAAAGUAUACCGCUCAAAAUAUUAUUCACCUCUAUUUAGAAGCCGAGCUCUGGCACCUCUACAAAUCCCUGCUUCCCUCUGUGAAGGGCCUAUCUAUUUACUUUUAUGCUGAGUCAUCAUCCUCUUAUCAAAAAGCACCAGUUGGAGAGCACUGCUGUCAUUUGCAUUCAUUAUUGUUAGUUUACAUUGAGUAUGACUUGACUGGAUCUCUUUUACCAUGAAUUACAAUGUCUAGUCAAUCCUUGGUCUUUAAAGGUGCUCUACAUUUAUGUUUUGCAGUCUCAGAAAGGGCUAGCGAGAUACCAUCUUGUUAUAUCAUAUUAUGAUUGUUUUGAGAAAGUGUUGUCAUCCGAGAUUUAUUAUUAUGCCUUGCUAGUUGAUUAUGCUAUUGAUAUGAGCAAACUUGAGACCUAUGCAUUAUUGCAAAUGUGGUUAGUUAUAAUCUUUGCUGAAAACUUGAAUGCUGGCUUUACAUAUUUACAACAACAAGAGCAAACAGAGUUUGUAAAAGUUUUUCUUUAUCACGUUCAGUUUGUCAACUGAAUUGCUUGAGGACAAGCAAAGAUUUAAGCUUAGGGGAGUUGAUACAUCUCCAACGUAUCUACUUUUCCAAACACUUUUUCCCUUGUUUUGGAAUCUAACUUGCAUGAUUUGAAUGGAACUAACCCGGACUGGCGCUGUUUUGAGCAGAAUUACCAUGGUGUUAUUUAUGUGCAGGAGCAAACAUUCUCGGAAUGAACUGAAACUUCACAGAGCCACUUUUCAGAAAAUAAGAAAAAUACCUGCAAAAGAUGAAGGCCAUGGGGCCCACCACCUCCCCACGAGGUUGGGGGGUGCGCCUGCCCCCCUAGGGCGCGCCCCCCUACCUCGUGGGCCCCUGUUGACUCUCCGACUCCAACUCCACCUCCAUAUAUUGAGUUUCGGUGAGAAAAAAAAUCAGGGAGAAGAAAUCAUCGCGUUUUACGAUACAGAGCCGCCGCAAAGCCGUAAAACCUCUCGGGAGGUCUGAUCAGGAGUCCGUUCGGGGCUCCGGAGAGGGGAAUCGGUCGCCAUCGUCAUCAUCAACCAUCCUUCAUCACCAAUUUCAUGAUGCUCGCCGCCGUGCAUGAGUAAUUCAAUUGUAGGCUUGCUGGACGGUGAUGGAUUGGAUGGGAUCUAUCAUGUAAUCGAGUUAGUUUUGUUAGGGUUUGAUACCUAGUGUCCACUAUGUUCUGAGAUUGAUGUUGCUAUGACUUUGGUAUGCUUAAUGCUUGUCACUAGGGCCUGAGUGCCAUGAUUUCAGAUCUGAACAUAUUAUGUUUUCAUCAAUAUAUGAGUGUUCUCGAUCCUAUCUUGCAAGUCUAUAGUCACCUAUUAUGUGUUAUGAUCCGUUAACCCCGAAGUGACAAUAAUCGGGAUACUUACCGAUGAUGACCGUAGUUUGAGGAGUUCAUGUAUUCACUAUGUGUUAGUGCUUUGUUCCGGUACUCUAUUAAAAGGAGGCCUUAAUAUCCCUUAGUUUCCAUAAGGACCCCGCUGCCACGGGAGGGUAGGACAAAAGAUGGCAUGCAAGUUCUUUUCCAUAAGCACGUAUGACUAUAUUCGGAAUACAUGCCUACAUUAUAUCAAUGAACUGGAGCUAGUUCUAUGUCACCCUAGGUGAUGACUGUUACAUGAUGAACCGCAUCCGGAAUAACUCUCCAUCACUGAUCCAUUGCCUACGAGCUUUCCAUAUAUUGUUCUUCGCUUAUUUACUUUCCCGUUGCUAUUGCUAUCAUCACUACAAAACACCAAAAACAUUACUUUUACUACUGUUACCUUUUGCUAUCGUUACCACUACUAUCAUAUUACUUUGCUACUAAACACUUUGCUGCAGAUAUUAAGUUUCCAGGUGUGGUUGAAUUGACAACUCAGCUACUAAUACUCGAGAGUAUUCUUUGGCUCCCCUUGUGUCGAAUCAAUAAAUUUGGGUUGAAUACUCUACCCUCGAAAACUGUUGCGAUCCCCUAUACAUGUGGGUUAUCAAGACUAUUUUCUGGCGCCGUUGCCGGGGAGCCUAGCUCUAUUCUUUGAUUCACUUGGGAUAUAUAUCUGCUUAUCAUUAUGAAGAACUUGAGAGAUCCAAAAACCAAGAUCUAUCCAUCAACUACAAGGGGAGGUAAGGAACUGCCAUCUAGCUUUGCACUUGAUUCACCUUCUGUUAUGAGUAAGUUUGCGACACCUACACCUGCUUCUGCUAUUCGUUCUGAUAUGUCGCAUGUUAUUGAUGAUGCCACUUCUGCUAUGCAUGAUACUUAUGAUGAAACUACAUCUAUGCAUGAUACUACUGCGCCACUUAGUGAUUUCCUUGAUGAACACAUUGCUAGGUCUAGAGAGAUUGAAAAUAUUGAAUCUGAUGAUACUGAUGAAAGUGAUGAUGAAGAAUCACUUGUUAUUCCUAAGGGUUAUGUUUUUUAUCAAGAAGCUUCUUUCGCUAUCUUAGCUUGCGAAAAUAGAAAUGAACUAAAAAGGUUAUUAGCUAAAUGGAGUAAGCAAUUCCUAAGUGCUAGAAUGAAACCUGACCCUGCUUUUGCUACUUCACCUAUCUGUGUUACUGAUAAGGAUUAUGAAUUCUCUGUUGAUCCUGAUAUAAUUACUUUAGUUGAAUCUAAUCCUAUUCAUGGUUAUGAAUCUAAAACUAUUGUGGCACAUCUUACUAAAUUGAAUGAUAUAGCUACCCUGUUUACUAUAGAUGAGAGAACUCGUUACUUUUACAUCCUUAAAAUAUUUCCGUUCUCAUUAAAGGGUGAUGCUAUGAUAUGGUAUAAUUCUCUUGAUCCUGGUUGUAUGCUGUCGAUAGGAACGACACCUAUGGGAUCACAAGAAUCCCUACUGAGGUUGCGGGGCGCGGGGUCGUGAGAAGAGCGGAUCAAACAGAUAUCACACGGUUCGUUUAUCCAGGUUCGGGCCGCGGGGAUGCGUAAAACCCUACUCCUGCUUUGCUGGAUUGUAUAUCUGUGUUCUUGAGCUAGCUAUGGGGCGUGAGGAGAUCCAAAAAGCCGAAUCCCCCUCCUGGUCGCCUCGGGCCUCCUUUUAUAGGAAAAGGGGUUGCCACAGUAGCACUAGGAGGUGGAAAGGGACCAGUGAUGUGAGGUUAUCCCUCACAUUACAUGACAAGGCGCUUUUAAUGCGUCUUGCCUAGGUGUCCUUGCUUUAUCGGGGACGGGGGAGAGCCCUGUCUCGUCCGUCGCCGCUCCCUCUCGCGUCGACACGCGCCCUGGCCAGCGGCGCCCGCGGUGCCAUGUAGGCAAGCAGGCAGCUAAGGUGGCAUAGUGGUGGGUCUCCAUGAAGAUCUGCAUGCCGCCACGCAGGUGCCUGCCCAGCUGGUUGGGUCGGCAGCUGCAUGCGAACGGUGGUGGAGGUUUGACUGGCGUGGGCCUGAUGGUGGCCCAACGGGUGUUCUUGGCAAGGGCCUUGCCGGGGCCCGGCAAGGGUCUUGUCGUGGCGCCUGCUGUCAUCCCCGGCAAGGCUCUUACCGGGGGCCUUGUGGUCCUCCUUGGCUGGGAUCCCGCCAAGGAUCAUCAUCUUCUGAAGGGUGUAUCUGAUCUCGAAUGUCUUCACAAAGAUCUGCAUGCCACCACGGGGAUGUCUCCCGAAUCCUUGCCCCCAUGGGGGCAGUGGACUCCAGGGUGACUCACUCCGUAGGUGUGGGGCGAGCUGCCACGGCAAGGGUCUUGCCGGGUUUGCUAAAUCCGCCUCCCAGCAAGGAUCUUGCCGGGGGGUCCGUUUCGUCCCCUUUGCUCUUUGUGGUCUUGGUCUUGGCGUCGUUCUGCUUCUCCUGAGCUUCGGCCUUACCUUGGCUCACCUCCCUUGCCUUGCUCAGUGUGGUGGUGCCCGUGGCUCAGACUGCCCGUGCACAGUUAUAGGGGUACAAAAAGCGCACCCCUCUUUUUGUACACCGACAUAUGCGUAGUCCCCAGGAUAUGAUUUAUUACCUCUCUGCUAAAUGUUUCCCUUCUCAUAAGAAACAAGCUGCUUUAAGGGAUAUAUAUAAUUUUGUGCAAAUUAAAGAAGAGAGUCUCCCACAAGCUUGGGGAGGCUUCUCCAAUUACUUAAUGCUUUGCCUGAUCAUCCUCUUAAGAAAACUGAAAUACUUGAUAUCUUUUAUAAUGGACUAACCGAUGCCUCCUGACAUUACCUGGAUAGCUGUGGUGGUUCUAUUUUCAGGGAAAGAACACCGGAUGAAGCUGAAAUUCUAUUAAAUAAUAUGUUGACAAAUCAAAAUAAUUGGACACCUCCGGAGCCAAUUCCUAAGCCUAUUCCUAAACCAACUCCGAAGAAGAGGGGUAUUCUAUUUCUCGGUCCUGAAGAUAUGCAAGAGGCAAAGAAAUCUGUGAAAGAAAAAGGUAUUAAAGCUGAAGAUGUUAAGAAUUUACCUCCUAUUAAAGAAAUACAUGGUCUUAAUUUACCGCCUGUUGAAGAAACAUAUAAUCCAAAUCCUUCUCCUAUUGAAGAAACUCAUGGUCUUGAUAACCCGACACAGGUAGUAAAGGUAAAUUCUCUCUAUAGAUAUGAUAAAGCUGAAAUCCCAUUUACUAAAUUUGCUAGCCCAUGCUUAGAUGAGUUUGAUAAAUUUAUGGCUAAGCAAGAAGACUUUAAUGCUUAUUUUGGUAGACAAUUAAAAUACAAUUCAAAUAUGCUUGAACACUUGGGUGAUUAUAUGGCUAAUGUCAAAGGUGAACUUAAACUUAUUAGUAAACAUGCUUCUAUGGUUACCACUCAAGUAGAACAAGUACUUAAAACUCAAAAUGAUUUGCUCAAUGAAUUGAAUAGUAAAGAUAAUGAUAAUGUUGUUAGAGUGGCUACUAGAACUGGUAGAAUGACUCAGGAACCUUUGUAUCCUAAAGGCCACCCUAAGAGAAUUGAGCAAGAUUCUCGGAGAAAUAAUAUAGAUGUACCUAGUUCUUCUAAAAAGAAGAAAAAGAAAAAUGAUAGGACUUUGCAUGCUUCUAGUGAACCUAUUGUUGAAACACCUGAGAAUCCAAAUGAUAUUUCUAUUUCUGAUGCUGAAACACAAUCUGGUAAUGAACCUAAAACUAGUGGUAAUGCUAAUGAUAAUGUUCAUAAUGAUGCUCAACCUAGUAAUGAUAAUGAUGUAGAAAUUGAACCUGCUGUUGAUCUUCAUAACCCACAAUCAAAGAAUCAACGUUAUGAUAAGAAAGAUUUUGUUGCUAGGAAACAUGGUAAAGAAAGAGAGCCUUGGGUUCAGAAACCCAUGCCUUUUCCUCCCAAACCAUCCAAGAAAAAGGAUGAUGAGGAUUUUGAGCGCUUUGCUGAAAUGAUUAGACCUAUCUUUUUGCGUAUGCGAUUAACCGAUAUGCUCAAAACCAAUCCUUAUGCUAAGUACAUGAAAGAUAUUAUUACAAAUAAAAGAAAGAUACCGGAAGCUGAAAUUUCCACCAUGCUUGCUAAUUAUACUUUUAAGUGUGGAAUACCAAAGAAACUUGGAGAUCUAGGAGUACCCACUAUACCAUGCUCCAUUAAAAGAAAUUAUGUUAAAACUGCUUUAUGUGAUCUUGGAGCCGGUGUUAGUGUUAUGUCUCUCUCUUUAUAUCGUAGACUUGAUUUUAAUAAUUUGACACCUACUGAAAUAUCUUUGCAAAUGGCUAAUAAAUCAACUGCUAUACCUGUCGGUAUUUGUGAGGAUGUGCCUGUUGUAGUUGCAAACGUUACUAUUUUAACGGACUUUGUUAUUCUUGAUAUUCCCGAGGACGAUAGUAUGUCUAUUAUUAUUGGAAGACCCUUUUUGAAUACUGCAGGGGCUGUUAUUGAUUGCACUAAAGGCAAUGUCACUUUUCAUGUUAAUGGUAAUGAGCAUACGGUACACUUUCCGAGGAAACAACCUCAAGUUCAUAGUAUCAACUCCAUUGGAAAAAUUCCAUCGAUUAUAUUUGGAGGUUUUGAAUUUCCUCUUCCUAUUGUCAAGAAGAAAUAUGAUAUUCUUAUUAUUCAGGAUGUGCAUAUCCCCGUUCAGGUAACAUAGUGUUAUUCGAAAUUUCUCCGGUUCCAUGUUAUUCGGAAUGAGUUCGUUAACAAGACUUGAUCAACCUUGUUAGUGGAUUCCUUUUGAUGAUCAUGAGAAGGAUGAAACUAGAAGGCACAACCUUCUGUACCCCACUUUUACUUUCUGUUAUUUAUAUUAAAUAAAAUAAAAAUAAAUAUUUUUCUGUCUGUUAUCUGAUUAUCCGUGCAAUAUAAAAAUACCUCGAAAAUAAAAGUUCUCCAAAUGCCCUGAAAUUUAAAUAUGAUUUUUUUCAGAAUAUUUGAGAAAAUUUGGCACUGAGAACACAGCAGGGGGGCCAACCACCUGCCCACGAGAGUGGAGGGCGCGCCCUACCCCCCUGGGCGCGCCCCCUACCUAGUGGGCCCACGGUGGCCCUCCUCCACUUAUUCCUGCACCCACACACACUUCAUCUUCCUCCCCCAAACACGAAUAUCCAGCUCAAACCCGAGUCCAAGCUCAUUUUGCUGCUAUUUUCGAUCUCCUUGCUCAAAGCACCUCUCACAAAACUGCUUGGGGAGAUUGUUCCUUGGUAUAUGACUCCUCCAUUAGCCCAAUUAGUUUUUGUUCUAGUGCUUUAUUCAUUGCAAAUUUUUGCUGCUUAGGUGGCCCUGUUCUUGAGCUUGCAUGUCAAAUUUAUAUGGUCAAAAGUAGUUUUCAUGCAUGAUAUAGGCCCUAGGACCUUGUAGGAGUAGUUGCUAUCAAUAUUAUUGAGUUUGGUUUACUUUUAUUUUGAAGUUACUAAAAAUUUCAGAAUUUUUCUGAAAAUGAUGAGGAGACUAUUGAGGGGCUCAUCGACCCAAAGCUCGAAGGAAAAGGCACCGAAGCCUAAGUAUAAUUUGCCGUGCACCGCAGAGGUUCGGGCGUGUGAAUGGCCUUCCGAUGAUUUCUAGAGAGCAGCCGGUAUUUAUGAAGAUUUUCAUGAAUUGGCUAGGAAUGCAGGCCUCACCGCUUUCCUCCACGACCAAUGCGAUCAGUAUCUCUUACUCACAAAUACCUUUGUGCAAAACUUUCAUUUCCAUUCUAGGAAUUCGCCACCUACGGUGGAGUUUCAUUUAUAUGAUGAGCAUAAGGAGAUGUCACUUUAUGAUUUUUGUCGGAUUUUUUUAGUCCCUUUUGAGGGCAAGACUGAAGAACCACAUCAUGAUGAUGUGGAGGGGUUUAUUGAUACUAUCACUGUAGGGGAAACUAGGAAGGUUUCCAAUGCACAAAUCACUAGCAUACAUUUUCCUGUUUUACGUUACUUUGCAUUAUUUGCUAGUCGUUGCUUAAUUGGACGCGGAAACUAUGGAAACCUUAGUAUCCCUGAUAUAAUUAUUCUGCUCCACGGUUUAUACAGUGAUAACACUUUUAGUAUGGGCGGUAUUAUUGCCAAACGGUUAAGUCUGAAUCGAACCAAGGGCCCCACCUUUGGAGGCAUCUAUGCUUCAUGCCUAGCUAAACAUUUUAACAUACCUAUUAGGCAUUUUGAGAAGGAAGAAAAAGUGUUGCCUCGUGUUUAUCUAGAUUAUAAAAGUAUGGUGGCACAUGAUUUUAUUGUUAAGAAUAGGGAAGGAGAGCUUAAAUAUCAAUUGUUCUUUAAUAAAUACCAUCCUGAGACUAUUACCCUGCCUGCUCCUUCUUUGUUUGAUUUAUCUGUAGGCACGUACCUUGUUCCAUUGAAGGCUAUUCACGCCUACCGGAACCCUGCACCAGCCGAGGAGCCAGAGCCGGAACCACAAGUUGAUCCUCCAUGAUAGUCUAAUUACCAGUGGGAUCCAGAGAUGAUUGUUAGCCAGUGGCAAUCGGAGUCUUCCUCUUCUUCUUCUCAGUAAAACCCCAACUACUAUUAUGGUUAGCCGCCAGGCCAGCUGUGUCCAUAGACCAAAUUAGGCCAAAAGCCUAAGCUUGGGGGAGUACGUAUUUCCCACCGACAUUACAUUUAUCUUCACACAAUCAUUGCUAGAUGUCGGUGAUUGAUACGUCUCCAACGUAUCUAUAAUUUUUGAUUGCUCCAUGCUAUAUUAUCAACUGUUUUAGACAUUAUUGGGCUUUAUUUUCCACUUUUAUAUUAUUUUUGGGACUAACCUAUUAACCGGAGGCCCAACCCAGACUUGUUGUUUUUUGCCUGUUUUAGGGUUUCGAACAAAAGGAAUAUCAAACGGAGUCCAAACCGAAUGAAACCUUCGGAAACAUGAUUUUCUCAUCAGAUAAGAUCCAGGAGACUUGGACCCUCCGUCAAGAAAGCCACGAGGUGCUCACGAGGGUAGGGGCGCCCCCCCCCCCCACCCUAGGGCACGCCCCCCUGCCUCGUGGGCCCCUUGAAGCUCCACCAACGUACUUCUUCCUCCUAUAUAUAUCCACGUACCCCCAAACGAUCGGGGACAGAGCAAAAAACCUAAUUCCACCGCUGCAACUUUCUCUAUCCACGAGAUCCCAUUUUGGGGCCUGUUCCGGAGCUCCGCCGGAGGAGGCAUCGAUCACGGACGGCUUCUACAUCAUCAUCCAAGCCCCUCCGAUGAAGUGUGAGUAGUUUACUUCAGACCUCCGGGUCCAUAGCUAGUAGCUAGAUGGCUUCUUCUCUCUUUUUGGAUCUCAAUACAAUGUUCUCCCCUCUCUCGUGGUGAUCUAUUCGAUGUAAUAUUCUUUUUGCGGUCUGUUUGUUGAGACCGAUGAAUUGUGGGUUUAUGAUCAAGUCUAUCUAUGAAUAGUAUUUGAAUCUUCUCUGAAUUCUUUUAUGUAUGAUUGGUUAUCUUUGUAAGUCUCUUCGAAUUAUUAGUUUGGUUUGGACUACUAGAUUGGUUGUUCUUGCCAUGGGAGAAGUGCUUAGCUUUGGGUUCAAUCUUGCGGUGUCCUUUCCCAGUGAUAGAUGGGGUAGCAAGGCACGUAUUGUAUUAUUGCCAUCGAGGAUAACAAGAUGGGGUUUUUAUCAUAUUGGAUGAAACUAUCCCUCUACAUCAUGUCAUCUUGCUUAAGGCGUUACUCUGUUUUUAACUUAAUACUCUAGAUGCAUGCUGGAUAGCGGUCGAUGAGUGGAGUAAUAGUAGUAGAUGCAGAAUCGUUUCGGUCUACUUGUCUCGGAUGUGAUGCCUAUAUACAUGAUCAUACCAAGAUAUUCUCAUAACUAUGCUCAAUUCUGUCAAUUGCUCAACAGUAAUUUGUUCACCCACCGUAGAAUACUUAUGCUCUUGAGAGAAGCCACUAGUGAAACCUAUGGCCCCCGAGUCUCUUUCUCAUCAUAUCAAUCUCCAUCACUUUACUAUUGCUUUGCUUUUACUUUGCUUAUACUUUAUUUACUUUGCAUCUCUAUACCAAAAAUACCAAAAAGAUAUUAUUUAUCAUCUCUAUCAGAUCUCACUUUCAUAAGUGACCGUGAAGUGAUUGACAACCCCUAAGCAUGUUGGUUGCGUUGAGCUAUUGUUUUUGUGUAGGUACGAGGGACUCGAGCGUAGCCUCCUACUGGAUUGAUACCUUGGUUCUCAAAAAUUGAGGGAAAUACUUACGCUACUUUGCUGCAUCAUCCCUUCCUCUUCGGGGAAAUCCAACGCAGUGCUCAAGAGGUAGAAAGAAGAAUUUCUGGCGCCGUUGCCGGGGAGUCUGUGCAAGAGUCAACAUACCAAGUACCCAUCACAAUCCCUAUCUCCUGCAUUACAUUAUUUGCCAUUUGCCUCUCAUUUUCCUCUCCCCCACUUCACCCUUGCCCUUUUAUUCGCCCUCUCUCUCUAUCCUCCCUCUCUAUUUGCCUCUUUUACCCAUUUGCUCUUGUUUGCUCGUGUAUUGGAUUGCUUGUUUGUCGCGAUGUCUCUACCUAGAUUUGAUGAUCUUCACCUUAAAAGGUUAGAGGAGAUCGAAAACAACAUCAAGAAGUUUAUGGUUUUGCAAUUUGAGCAUAAUAAUUUCUUUAGAAAUGAGCUUAAGGAAUAAAAAAGUUUCAUGAAUUAUAUGAAUAAAGAGCUCGAUGAUAUGUCUAAAGAAUUUGAUGGUAUAAGAUCCCAAAUUGCCCAUAUUGAAAAAUUAACUGCUGAAAUUUCGGAUAUGCAAGCUACCUUAGUCAAUAAGAUGGCCGCUAAACCAGAUUCCUAUGAAAAUAAUGAUGAAGAUCUAAAAGUUAUUGAUGUGUCCCCUAUUAAAUCUUUGUUUUGCAAUAGGAAUCUUGAUAAUGAUGGGACUGAAUAUGAUCCACCUUUACCUAGAAGGCGUUCUAAGAAUUCGGAAUUUGUUGAUCUUGAUGCUAAAUUUGAUAAAAGUGGGAUUGAAGAAAUUAAAACCCUAGAUGUUGCUAAACCCACUAUUAUGGAUUUCAAGGAAUUUAACUAUGAAAAUUUCUCUUUUAUUGAUUGUAUUUCCUUGUUGCAAUCCAUGCUAAAAUCUCCUCACGCUUAUAGUCAAAAUAAAGCGUUUACUAAACAUAUCGUUGAUGCCUUGAUGCAAUCUUAUGAAGAAACACUUGAAUUGGAAGUUUCUGUCCCUAUAAAACUUUAUGAUGAGUGGGAACCAACUAUUAAAAUUAAAAUUAAAAAUUAUGAGUUUUAUGCUUUGUGUGAUUUGGGUGCUAGUGUCUCUACUAUUCCCAAAACUUUGUGUGAUUUGCUAGAUUUCCGUGAUUUUGAUGAUUGCUUUCUAAACUUGCAUCUUGCAAAUUCCACUAUUAAGAAACCUAUGGGAAGAAUUAAUGAUGUUCUUAUUGUCGCUAAUAAGAAUUAUGUGCCCAUAGAUUUUAUCGUUCUUGAUAUAGAUUGCAAUCCUUCUUGCCCUAUUAUUCUUGGUAGACCUUUCCUUAGAACGGUUGGUGCAAUUAUUGAUACGAAGGAAGGGAAUAUUAGAUUUCAAUUUAUAUUAAAAAAGGGCAUGUAAAACUUCCCUAGAAAGAAAAUAAAAUUACCAUAUGAAUCUAUCAUGAGAGCCACUUAUGGAUUGCCUACCAAAGAUGGCAAUACCUAGAUCUAUUCUUGCUUGUUAUGCCUAGCUAGGGGCGUUAAAUGAUAGCGCUUGUUGGGAGGCAACCCAAUUUUAUUUUUAUUCCUUGCUUUUUGCUCCUGUUUAGUAAUAAAUAAAUUAUCUAGCCUUUGUUUUGGUUGUGUUUUUUGUGUUUAAUUAGUGUUUGUGCCAAGUAGAACCGUUGGGAAGACUUGGGGAAAGUCUUGUUGAACAUGCUGUAAAAAACAGAAACUUUAGCGCUCACGAGAACUGCUGUAAUUUUUAUUUGGAAAGUGAUAUUUAGUUAAUUAUUUUUGCAGAUGAUUAAUAUAUAAAUUCCUCACGUCCAGAAAUUUAUUUUAGAAUUUUUGGGGUUCCAGAUAUUGAGCUAGCUACAGAUUACUACAGACUAUUCUGUUUUUGACAGAUUCUGUUUUUCGUGUGUUGUUUGCUUAUUUUGAUGAAUCUAUGGCUAGUAAAAUAGUUUAUAAUCCAUAGAUAAGUUGUAAUACAGUAGGUUUAACACAAAUAUAAAUAAAUAAUGAGUUCAUUACAGUACCUUGAAGUGGUCUUCUGUUUUCUUUCGCUAAUGGAGCUCAUGAGUUUUCUACCUUAAGUUUUGUGUUGUGAAGUUUUCAAGUUUUGGUAAGGAUUUGAUGGAUUAUGGAACAAGGAGUGGAAAUAUCCUAAGCUUGGGGAUUCCCAUGGAACCCCCAAGAUAAUCUAAGGACACCUAAAAGCUAAAGCUUGGGCCCGGAAGGCAUCCCCUCUUCCGUCUACUUCUAUUGGUAACUUUACUUGGAGCUAUAUUUUUAUUCACCACAUGAUAUGUGUUUUGCUUGGAGCAACUUUUAUAAUUUGAGUCUUUGCUUGUUAGUCUACCACAAUCAUCCUUGUUGUACACACCUUUUGAGAGAGCCAUACAUGAUUUGGAAUUUGAUAGAAUACUCUAUGUACUUCACUUAUAUCUUUUGAGCUUUAUAGUUUUGCUCUAGUGCUUCACUUAUAUCUUUUAGAGCACGGUGGUGGAUUUGUUUUAUAGAAACUAUUGAUCUCUCAUGCUUCACUUAGAUUAUUUUGAGAGUCUUAAUAGCAUGGUAAUUUGCUUAAAAUCCUAAUAUGCUUGGUAUGCAAGAUUAAUAAUAAAACUUUUGUAUGAGUGUGUUGAAUACUAAGAAGAAAUUGAUGCUUGAUAAUUGUUUUGAGUUAGAGUCAUGCUAGUUGAGUAGUUGUGAAUUUGAGAAAUGCUUGUGUUAAAGUUUGUGAUUCCUGUAGCAUGCACGUAUGGUGAACCGUUACGUGAUGAAGUCGGAGCAUGAUUUAUUUAUUGAUUGUCUUCCUUAUGAGUGGCGGUCGGGGACGAACGAUGGUCUUUUCCUACCAAUCUAUCCCCCUAGGAGCAUGCGCGUAAUACUUUGCUUUGAUAACUUCUAGAUUUUUGCAAUAAGUAUAUGAGUUCUUUAUGACUAAUGUUGAGUCCAUGGAUUAUACGCACUUUCCUUCCUUCCACCAUUGCUAGCCUCUCUAAUACCGCGCACUUUUCGCCGGUAUCAUACACCCACCAAAUACCUUCCUCAAAACAGCCACCAUACCUACCUAUCAUGGCAUUUCCAUAGCCAUUCCGAGAUAUAUUGCCAUGCAACUUUCCACCGUUCCGUUCAUUAUGACACGCUCCAUCAUUGUCAUAUUGCUAGCAUGAUCAUGUAGUUGACAUCGUAUUUGUGGCAAAGCCACCAUUUAUAAUUCUUUCAUACAUGUCACUCUUGAUUCAUUGCACAUCCCGAUACACCGCCGGAGGCAUUCAUAUAGAGUCAUAUUUUGUUCUAAGAAUCGAGUUGUAAUUCAUGAGUUGUAAGUAAAUAAAAGUGUGAUGAUCAUCAUUUUUAGAGCAUUGUCCCGGUGAGGAAAGGAUGAUGGAUACUAUGAUUCCACCACAAGUCGGGAUGAGACUCCAGACGAAAAAAAAGAGGCCAUAAAAAAGGAGAAAGGCCCAAAUAAAAAAUGAGAGAAAAAUAGAGAAGGGACAAUGUUACUAUCCUUUUACCACACUUGUGCUUCAAAGUAGCACCAUGAUCUUCAUGAUAGAGAGUCUCUCAUUAUGUCACUUUCAUAUACUAGUGGGAAUUUUUCAUUAUAGAACUUGGCUUGUAUAUUCCAAUGAUGGGCUUCCUCAAAAUGCCCUAGGUCUUCAUGAGCAAGCAAGUUGGAUGCACACCCACUUAGUUUCUUUUGAGCUUUCAUAUACUUAUAGCUCUAGUGCAUCCGUUGCAUGGCAAUCCCUACUCACUCACAUUGAUAUCUAUUGAUGGGAAUCUCCAUAGCCCGUUCAUACGCCUAGUUGAUGUGAGACUAUCUUCUCCCUUUUUGUCUUCGCCACAACCACCAUUCUAUUCCACCUAUAGUGCUACAUCCAUGGCUCACGCUCAUGUAUUGCGUGAAGAUCGAAAAAGUUUUGAAAAUGUCAAAAGCAUGAAACAAUUGCUUGGCUUGUCAUCGGGGUUGUGCAUGAUUUAAAUACUUUGUGUGGUGAAGAUAGAGCAUAGGCAAACUAUAUGAUUUUGUAGGGAUAGCUUUCUUUGACCAUGAUAUUUUGAGAAGACAUAAUUGCUUUGUUAGUAUGCUUGAAGUAUUAUUAUUUUUAUAUCAAUAUGAAGUUUUGUCUUGAAUCUUUCGAAUCUGAAUAUUCAUACCACAAUUAAGAAAAUUUAAAUUGAAAUUAUGCCAAGUAGCACUCCGCAUCAAAAAUUCUAUUUUUAUCAUUUACCUACUCGAGGAUGAGCAGGAAUUAAGCUUGGGGAUGCUUGAUACGUCUUCAACGUAUCUAUAAUUUUUGAUUGCUCCGUGAUAUAUUAUCUACUAUUUUAGACAUUAUUGGGCUUUAUUUUCCACUUCUAUAUUAUUUUUGGGACUAACCUAUUAACCGGAGGCCCAGCCCAGAAUUGUUGUUUUUUGCCUGUUUUAGGGUUUCGAAGAAAAGGAAUAUCAAACGGAGUCCAAACGGAAUGAAACCUUUGUAAAUGUGAUUUUCUCAUCAGAUAAGAUCUAGGAGACUUGGACCCUCCGUUAAGAAAGNNNNNNNNNNNNNNNNNNNNNNNNNNNNNNNNNNNNNNNNNNNNNNNNNNNNNNNNNNNNNNNNNNNNNNNNNNNNNNNNNNNNNNNNNNNNNNNNNNNNNNNNNNNNNNNNNNNNNNNNNNNNNNNNNNNNNNNNNNNNNNNNNNNNNNNNNNNNNNNNNNNNNNNNNNNNNNNNNNNNNNNNNNNNNNNNNNNNNNNNNNNNNNNNNNNNNNNNNNNNNNNNNNNNNNNNNNNNNNNNNNNNNNNNNNNNNNNNNNNNNNNNNNNNNNNNNNNNNNNNNNNNNNNNNNNNNNNNNNNNNNNNNNNNNNNNNNNNNNNNNNNNNNNNNNNNNNNNNNNNNNNNNNNNNNNNNNNNNNNNNNNNNNNGUACUUCUUCCUCCUAUAUAUAUCCACGUACCCCCAAACGAUCGGGGACGGAGCCAAAAACCUAAUUCCACCGCCGCAACUUUCUGUAUCCACGAGAUCCCAUCUUGGGGCCUAUUCCAGAGCUCCGCCGGAGGAGACAUCGAUCACGGACGGCUUCUACAUCAUCAUCCAAGCCCCUCCGAUGAAGUGUGAGUAGUUUACUUCAGACCUAUGGGUCCAUAGCUAGUAGCUAGAUGGCUUCUUCUCUCUUUUUGGAUCUCAAUACAAUGUUCUCCCCCUCUCUUGUGGAGAUCUAUUCGAUGUAAUCUUCUUUUUGCGGUGUGUUUGUUGAGACGAUGAAUUGUGGGUUUAUGAUCAAGUCUAUCUAUGAAUAAUAUUUGAAUCUUCUCUGAAUUAUUUUAUGUAUGAUUGGUUAUCUUUGCAAGUCUCUUCAAAUUAUCUGUUUGGUUUGGCCUACUAGAUUGGUUGUUCUUGCCAUGGGAGAAGUGCUUAGCUUUGGGUUCAAUCUUGCGGUGUCCUUUCCUAGUGACAGAAGGGGCAGCAAGGCACGUAUUGUAUUGUUGCCAUCGAGGAUAACAAGAUGGGGUUUUAUCAUAUUGCAUGAAACUAUCCCUCUACAUCAUGUCAUCUUGCUUAAGGCGUUACUCUGUUUUUAACUUAAUACUCUAGAUGCAUGCUGGAUAGCGGUCAAUGAGUGGAGUAAUAGUAUUAGAUGCAGAAUCGUUUUGGUCUACUUGUCUCAGACGUGAUGCCUAUAUACAUGAUCAUACCAAGAUAUUCUCAUAACUAUGCUCAAUUCUGUCAAUUGCUCAAUAGUAAUUUGUUCACCCACCAUAGAAUACUUAUGCUCUUGAGAGAAUCCACUGGUGAAACCUAUGGCCCCGGGUCUCUUUCUCAUCAUAUCAAUCUCCAUCACUUUACUAUUGCUUUGCUUUUACUUUGCUUCUACUUUAUUUACUUUGCAUCUCUAUACCAAAAAUACUAAAAAGAUAUUAUUUAUCAUCUCUAUCAGAUCUCACUUUCGUAAGUGACUGUGAAGGGAUUGACAACCCCUAAGCGCGUUGGUUGCGUUGAGCUAUUGUUUUUGUGUAGGUACAAGGGACUCGAGCGUAGCCUCCUACUGGAUUGAUACCUUGGUUCUCAAAAAUUGAGUGAAAUACUUACGCUACUUUGCUACAACAUCCCUUCCUCUUCGGGGAAAUCCAACGCAGUGCUCAAGAGGUAGCAGUGCUCAUACAUUUUCAUUGUAUCAUCCAUGAUAGUUUAUUGUCCUUUUUAUGCUUUCUUCUUGUGUGUUUAAUAAACCUUAAGAAAAACCAAAAAAUUAGUUGUAGCUUUUAGUUAGUUUAAUUUCCAUGCUUGUAGUAGUAAUUAAAAAGAAAACCCAAAAAUAUUUCAUGUUAUUCUUUUGCUUGUUGGGAGCUUUCCCGUGUAAAUAGUUUUAUUUCUUUCCUUUUCUUCGGGGGCCGAUAGGAGAAGACCAUAAUUAAAUUGUUGAAGUGGCUCUUAUAUGCAUACUUUCUGAUAUGACAAAAGAGCCCAUAUUGCCUUGUCUUCUCCUAUUUAUUGAAUGCUUGCAGAUUCCAGCUUAGUCCAAUGCACGUGCACUAUUAUUAGUAUUCAGACUAUUCGGUCGUGCAAAUGAAAGGCAAUUAUGAUGUUAUAUGAUGGACUGGUUGAGAUGAGAAAAGUUGGUAUGAACUCGACCUCUUUUGUUUUUGUAAAUAUGAUUAGUUCAUCGUUCCUGAUUCAGCCUAUUAUGAAUAAACAUGUUUGCAAUGACAACUAGAGAUCAUAGUUUCUUGUGCCAUGCUUGAUUAGCUAUGAGUUAUAAUGGUUUACCUUGCGUGCCAACAUGCUAUUGAGAUAGUUGUGAUGUGGUAUGAUAGGGUGGUAUCCUCCUCUGAAUGAUUUAAGUGACUUGACUUGGCACAUGUUCACGCAUGUAGUUGAAACAAAAUCAACUAAGCCUUCACGAUAUUUAUGUUCAUGGUGGAUUAUAUCCUACUCAUGCUUGCAUUUGGUGUUGAUUAAUUUUAAUGCAUGUUCAUGACUGUUGUCGCUCUCUAGCUGGUCGCUUCCCAGUCUUUUGCUAGCCUUCACAUGUACUAAGCGGGAAUACUGCUUGUGCAUCCAAACUCUUUAAACCCCAAAGUUAUUCCACAUGAGUCCACUAUACCUACCUAUAUACGGUAUCUACCUGCCGUUCCAAGUAAAUUUGUAUGUGCCAAACUCUAAACCUUCCAAUAAAUAUCCUAUUUUGUAUGCUCGAAUAGCUCAUGUAUCAACUAGGGCUGUCUGUAUCUUCCAUGUUAGGCGGGUUAUUCUCAAGAGGAGUGGACUCCGCUCCUCACUCACGAGAUAAAUGGCUGGGCACCGGGAUGCCCAGUCCCAUGCUUUAUGCAAACUAAAUCAAAAUAAUUGCAAACAAAACUCCCCCAAGGACUCUUGUUAGUUGGAGGCACUCGUUGUUUUGAGCAAGCCAUGGAUUGAUGCUUGUUGGUGAAAGGGGGAGUAUAAACUUUACCAUUCUGUUUGGGAACCACCUACAAUGUGUGUAGCAUGGAAGAUAUCGGCAUCUCUUGGUUGUUAUGUUGACAAUAAAAGUAUACCGCUCAAAAUAUUAUACACCUCUAUUUCAAAAUGGAGCUCUGGCACCUCUACAAAUCCCUGCUUCCCUCUGUGAAGGGCCUAUCUAUUUACUUUUAUGCUGAGUCAUCAUCCUCUUAUUAAAAAGCACUAGUUGGAGAGCACUGUUGUCAUUUGCAUUCAUUAUUGUUAGUUUACAUUGAGUAUGACUUGACUGGAUCUCCUUUACCAUGAAUUACAAUGUGUAGUCAGUCCUUGGUCUUUAAAGCUGCUCUGCAUUUAUGUUUUGCGGUCUCAGAAAGGGCUAGUGAGAUACCAUCUUGUUAUAUCAUAUUAUGAUUGUUUUGAGAAAGUGUUGUCAUCCGAGAUUUAUUAUUAUGCCUCGCUAGUUGAUUAUGCUAUUGAUAUGAGCAAACUUGAGACCUAUGCGUUAUUGCAAAUGUGGUUAGUUAUAAUCUUUGUUGAAAACUUGAAUGCUGGCUUUACAUAUUUACAACAACAAGAGCAAACAGAGUUUGUAAAAGUUUUUCUUUAUCGCUUUCAGUUUGUCAACUGAAUUUCUUGAGGACAAGCAAAGGUUUAAGCUUGGGGGAGUUGAUACGUCUCCAACGUAUCUACUUUUCCAAACACUUUUGCCCUUGUUUUGGACUCUAACUUGCAUGAUUUGAAUGGAACUAACCCGGACUGGCGUUGUUUUCAGCAGAAUUACCAUGGUGUUAUUUAUGUGCAGGAGCAAACAUUCUCGGAAUGACCUGAAACUUCAUGGAGCCAAUUUUCAGAAAAUAAGAAAAAUACCUGCAAAAGAUGAAGGCCAGGGGGGCCAUCACCUCCCCACGAGGGUGGGGGGUGCGCCUGCACCCCUAGGGCGCGCCCCCCUACCUCGUGGGCUCGCUGUUGACUCUCCGACUCCAACUCCACCUCCAUAUAUUGAGUUUCGGUGAGAAAAAAAUCAGGGAGAAGAAAUCAUCGUGUUUUACGAUACGGAGCCGCCGCCAAGCCCUAAAACCUCUCGAGAGGGCUGAUCUGGAGUCCGUUCGGGGCUUCGGAGAGGGGAAUCUGUCGCCAUCAUCAUCAACAACCAUCCUCCAUCACCAAUUUCAUGAUGCUCACCACCGUGCGUGAGUAAUUUCAUCGUAGGCUUGCAGGACGAUGAUGGGUUGGAUGGGAUCUAUCAUGUAAUCGAGUUAGUUUUGUUAGGGUUUGAUCCCUAGUGUCCACUAUGUUCUGAGAUUGAUGUUGAUAUGACUUUGCUAUGCUUAAUGCUUGUCACUAGGGCCCGAGUGCCAUGAUUUCAGAUCUGAACCUAUUAUGUUUUCAUCAAUAUAUGAGUGUUCUUGAUCCUAUCUUGCAAGUCUAUAGUCACCUAUUAUGUGUUAUGAUCCGUUAACCCCGAAGUGACAAUAAUCGGGAUACUUACCGGUGAUGACCAUAGUUUGAGGAGUUCAUGUAUUCACUAUGUGUUAAUGCUUCGUUCUGGUACUCUAUUAAAAGGAGGCCUUAAUAGCCCUUAGUUUCCGUAGGAGCCCCGCUGCCACGGGAGGGUAGGACAAAAGAUGUCAUGCAAAUUCUUUUCCAUAAGCACGUAUGACUAUAUUCGGAAUACAUGCCUACAUUAUAUCAAUGAACUGGAGCUAGUUCUGUGUCACCCUAGGUUAUGACUGUUACAUGAUGAACCGCAUCCGGCAUAAUUCUCCAUCACUGAUCCAUUGCCUACGAGCAUUCCAUAUAUUGUUCUUCGCUUAUUUACUUUCCCAUUGCUAUUGCUAUCAUCACUACAAAACACCAAAAACAUUACUUUUACUAUUGUUACCUUUUGCUACCGUUACCACUACUAUCAUAUUACUUUGCUACUAAACACUUUGCUGCAGAUAUUAAGUUUCCAGGUGUGGUUGAAUUGACAACUCGGCUGCUAAUACUCGAGAGUAUUGUUUGGCUCCCCUUGUGUCUAAUCAAUAAAUUUGGGUUGAAUACUCUACCCUUGAAAACUAUUGCGAUCCCCUAUACUUGUGGGUUAUUAGCAUGCAUCCUAGCGGUUCUUUCUUUGCACUCGUCAAUGGAAAUUAUCAUGGCUUUGAGAGACUCAUUGAUAUCAUGCUUAGGUGGAAUAGAUCUAAGUUUCAAAGAAUCAACAUCAAGAGAAAUUCUAUCAAUGUUCCUAGCCAAAUCAUCAAUCUUAGCAAUUUUUCUUCAGUCAUAGCAUUGAAAUUCUUUUGCGGAGUAAUAAAUUCUUUAAUACUAGAUUCAAAAUCAGAGGGCAUCUUAUUAUAAUUUCAAAAAUAAUUGUUGUAGGAAUUACCGUAAUUAUUAGAGCAAUUACUAGGAUACGGCCUAGGAUUAAAAUUUCCUCUAUACGCGUUGUCGGUGUCAAAACCGGCGGAUCUCGGGUAGGGGGUCUCGAACUGUGCGUCUAGGUCGGAUGGUAACAGGAGGCAAGGGACACGAAGUUUUACCCAGGUUCGGGCCCUCUUGAUGGAGGUAAAACUGUAACAUCCCAAAUUUUCAAUUCGGAAUGUUAUACAUUAGAUCAUCAUGCAUAUCAUAUUUUAUUUUGCAUUUUGGUUGAUCCUAGAAAUUCUACGCAACUCAAAGACCCAUAGAGAGACUUGGGGAUUUCGUUAUUUUCAUAUUUGAGUUUUCUCAAAUUUUGAGAAUAGGAUCGUUUGAUUUUAUUUAUUUUAUCAUCAAUUAUUUCUAUUACAAAAAUAUGAGAGAGGGAAUAAAAUGACUUUCCCAAAAUAAAGAAAUAUUGAGGAUUUAAUAAUAAACUCAAAUAAGAUUUUAUUUCGGUGUUUUUCGGUGUUUUAUUUGAAUUUAGCAAAAUGUGCGUUUUUCAAAAUUGCAUUUAGGUCCCAAAUAAAUGUUCACCUUGUGCGGCUUGAUUUUAGAAGCCCGUAAAAAUUUAUUUCGGAAUUUUUGGAGUCCGUUUAGUAUUUCUUUUUAUUUUUCUUCCGAUCGGAGUAAAAAAAAGAACCGACCUACGGGCCGUGUCCGACUAGGACUCCGGCCCGAGGGGGGGGCUUUAUAAGCCGGGGCAUCCCACCCCGAGAGAAACCCUAGCCAGCCCCCAACCCAGCCCAGCCGCCGCCGACGUCCGUCGCCGCUGCCGCCGGAGUCCGCCGCCGAGGUUCAUCGCGCCUCGAUUUCCGUGCCAAAAAAAAGUGAAAAAAAAUCGCCGUUCGUCAUUUUUCUUUUUCUCGGAUUAAAUCCGCGAUUUUUCUGAUCGCGAUUCCUGAUCCGAUUUUCGUUUUGGUUUAACUUUUCGCUCGUUUAUUGGAAUCAGGCUAUUCAAGUGCCUAGGGAUUUGUCUCGAAACCCUCUAUCUGUUUAACCAACUUAAACAAGUUUUUGUUACUGUAAAAUUUUCCCUAGAUCCAGAUUAGUAGAACGAAGUUGUUUUCUUUCACAGUUUGAUUUUCGUUGCUUCAUUUGAUUUGAUUCUUUUUGCCAACCGGAGUUCUUAAGUUGAACCUUCUGGUUAGAUCUCUUAUUUGAGUUUUACCUAUGCAUUAGAUGAGUACUUAUUGUAUGCUUGUUUGUUCGUUUGCGAUAGAGUACCCGGAGUGCGCCGCAUGUUACUUCGAAUCGUUAGGUUUCGCGGAUCAUCAGCAAGGCAAGUAACACUUUGAUCAUAACUUUUCUACUACCCAGUUUUAUUGCAUUAGAUCAAUCCUCACACAUUGCAUGAUUAGGAUGUAAUUAAAUUGUGGGAUGGGAAGUAGAUGAGGUAGUACCUAUUACCUGUUAUUAUCAAACCUUUGGGAGUUACUUCUACGUUUGCUUAUUAUGCCAUGCUAUGCUAGUAGACGUGGAUUGGGUGAGUGAUAUCCAUGACAGAUGUGAGAUUGUUAAUUUAAUGGUUUAUCUAAGGUGGCAACUUAAACACACAUCUGGGUGGAUUGAGGCACCUAGGUAUUCCAGGACUUGCCUGUUCUCUUUUGGACCACCACCCAGGCUCAAAGGGAUCAUGAGACUAUUCAUACUAGAAACUUCCGUGUGCAGCCACAAGCUAUUAUGGGCUCUAGCAUAGUUUACUAAGUUGUGCGAACUCUUACAGUGGUAGACUAGCAGAUGUAAGGGAUGUAGGUGGUACGGUCUACCCGAUCAUAAGGUGCUAGCGCUUCUGAAAGACUAUGUCUCGGCCAUCCGUCUUCUCAAACACCAUGUAGUGCGAGAAACCAAACGGAGGCGAUCGAGUCUUGUGGGGAAAAGUGCGCAAACCUCUGUAGAGUGUAAUAAACUAAUCAUGGUUAGCCGUGUCCCCGGUUAUGGACAUCUUGAGUAUCUAGUACUUGGAUUUUCAUGUGAAUCUCAACAUGUUACUCUAAAUUAAGUUUGUUGGGUUAUGUUUAAUGAUGAUGCUUAAUUGGGAUUGAGAAUGCUGUCAACCAUUCUCAAUGUUUAACAACCACCAUGGUAGUUAAAUAAAUUUAUUCCUUUGAAGUAGGGAAAAAAUGACUUUACGCAAAACUGUAACCAUAGAGCUUUCCACCAGCCAAAUAUGCAUAUAGUAUAGUUGUUUCAUUCCAUUACUCUCUAUGUGUUACAUUGCCAGCAUAUUCCAUGUGCUGACCCGUUUUCGGGCUGCAACGUUAAUGUUGCAGACUUUUCAGACGACGAUUAUGGAGUUUUUAGGUCAUGGUUCUAUACUCAGUGAUGCCGUUGGAGUUGAUGGACUCACUUAUCUUCCAAGCCUUCUGCUGUUAUCGUUAUUAGAUGGCCUUAAGCCAUAUUUAUUGUAAUAAGUUCUCUUAUGAGACACUCGAUGUAAUAAGUGUGUGAUUGCUACUCUGCUAUAAAUCCUCCAAGUAUUGUGUGGUGUCAGCAUUACUGAUCCAGGGAUGACACCGGAGCACAGAGAUCAGACUGUUUGAGGUCUGGUCGCUAUAGAGAUGGUAUCAUAGCAUACGCUGACUAUAGGACACGACCACUAAGCACAAGACCUAGAUCACUAUUCACUCUCUUCUCUUCUGACCUCUCAUCUUUUCUAUUCUUUAGGAUGGCGGAUGCAAGGAACAAGUUCACGCAACCGGAUGAAGAUACACCCUUUGGACGCCACUUGAAGGAAGUCACUAGAUACCUGAACAUAGGAGUACCAAGCUUCACCAGAACCUACAAUGCCACUUUACCUGAAGAAGAGCGCUGGAUGAUUCAAGUUCAAGUUCUAGGAAGGACGUUCAUGCCAGUCACUAAGCCCAUAGAAUUUUCUUUUGAUGCACCAACUUGGAGUCUAGGAAAGAGCAUGGCAGCUCACAUCGCCAUGGGACGCAUUGGAGAAGUCUACCGCAAGGAUCUAUAAGAUACUAUCUACCAGAUUUGUGGGUGCUGAGAUGAUCACUGGGAGAUGAUCAGCACCAGCAAGGAUAGAUCAAUCGCAGCUUUUAUCCAGGAGCUAAACCAGCACAUUCGACGACAGGAGAACCAGAUGUGCGCCGACAUGAUAGACCUGAAGAAGGCAAAGACUAGAAUCAAGGAACUGGAGGAAGAACUCAAGGCUACAUGUGAAGAUUAUGAAGAGGAAAUUGAAGUAUUGGUGGAGAAGAAUGAAGACCUGAUCAAGAGGAUUGGAAUAUUUAUGGGAGACCCUACGCCGGUAGAUGAAGACAAAGAACCUUAAGAAAUUAGCCCGGAAGACUACAUCAUCAUCGACGGCACCGACUCGGAAGCAGAUAGUAGCGAUGAUGACUAUGUUGAUGAAGCUGGAGCAGAUAUUAUGGAGUCAACGACCGUAGAAUAUUUCUAGUAGACCACCUCGUCAGUAGUAGUAGUCCACCAUGUAAAUAUAGUAUUCCGAGCACUUUUGCGAUAGUUAGAUCGAUUGUAUGCCUUUGUUUGAUUGAUUGAAGUGAAUUGUUUGCUUUUGCCUCAUGUGCAUAUGGGUAGUGUUUUCUCUUAGACCCCCUCUAUUCUUAUAUCUCAUCUUUUCUAAACCCUCAGAUGCCUCCGAGACGUGACCCCGGAUUUGCCUUUCCACCGGAGCUCACCCAGUUGAUCCAGCAGCAGAACACAUUGAUGCAGUUGCUAGUCCAGAAUCAGAAUCAGGGGAACAACAACAACAACCCACCACCACCACCACCACUUGUUGACCACUUAGCCCGUUUUCUUAGGCUGAAUCCGCCGGUGUUUUCCAGUAGCACCGAGCCGAUAGUAGCAGAUGAUUGGCUCCGCAAGACAGCUAGGGAGUUGACCACAGCAGGAUGCACAGAUGCAUAGAAGGUGAAGUUUGCCGCACAUCAGUUAGAAGGACCCGCAGCAUCAUGGUGGGAGAAUUUCACAGCCACUUUCCCUGUAGACACUGUCACAUGGGACCAGUUUCAGCAGGCUUUUUGUACUGCCCAUGUUUCAACAGGAGCUAUGGCCAUGAAGAAGCGUGAGUUUCACAACUUGCGCCAAGGAGGAAGGACAGUUGGCCAGUAUGUGGAGGAAUUUAGUAAGUUAGCACGUUAUGCACCAGAUGACGUCGCUACGGAUGCAGCGAAGCAGGAGAAGUUUUUAGAAGGACUGAAUAAUGAGUUGAGCAUGCAGUUGAUGGUAGCCACCUUCAACAACUACCAGGAGUUGGUAGAUCAUGCUCUUAUGAUUGAAGGCAAGCAGCAGCAAAUUGAGAAUCGCAAGAGGAAGUAUGGACAAGGGAAGUAUAAUUCAAGAGCUCAGCAGAAGCCAUGUUUUACCCCUAGACCGGGAGGACAUUUUCAGCAUACCCAUGGAGGAGGUAGCUCGCACAAUCACAAUGGCACCAAGAAUGGUAAUGGCAAUGGAGGAAGCAACGGCCAGAAUCGCACCAACCCCUCAACCCCAGCCAAGAAGGACCUAAGCCAAGUCACUUGCUUUAAGUGUUCGAAGACAGGACAUUAUGCCAAUGAAUGUCCUGAAUUACAAAAUGGAAAUAUCAAUGGAAGUUCUGGGAAGAAGCCGAACCCUUUCAAUAGGGGACAAGUGAACCAUGUUAGCGUGGAGGAGGUUGAAGCUCAGCCCGAUGCAGUAAUAGGUAAGUUUUUGGUUAAGUCAUUUGCUGCACUCUUUCUUUUUUAUACUAGCGCAUCGCAUUCAUACAUCACAAGGGGAUUUGUGGAUAAGUAUAACCUAUCAACCCAAGGCCUUAGGUCACCCAUGUUAGUAACCUCGCCUGGAGCAGAAUAUAUGGCUAGUCGAUGGUGUGACCGGUUACCAUUAAGGAUUGGUAACUAUGUUUUUCCCUCAGACCUAAUAGUAUUGGAAUCCCAAGGAUUGGGUGUGAUAUUAGGCAUGGAUUGGUUAUCAAAGUAUGAAGGGAAUAUUGAAUGUGCUAGUAAGUCAAUUUUGCUUACCACACCAGAAGGGAGAAGGAUCAAGUAUGUAUCCCAGCAUGUGUCAAAGAGGACUCAAGUAAAUUGCUUAACAAGAGUCAUGCAGGAGGAAGUACCAGUGGUAAGGGAUUUCCCUGAUGUAUUUCCAGAGGAGUUGCCAGGCAUGCCACCGGAUAGAGAUAUUGAGUUUUUGAUUGAGCUAUUGCCAGGCACAGGGCCAAUAUCAAAGAGACCAUAUAGGAUGCCAACAAAGGAUUUGGUGGAAAUUAAGAAGCAGAUUAAGGAGUUACUAGAUAAAGGAUAUAUUCGCCCAAGUUCUUCGCCUUGGGGAUCGACAGUACUUCUAGUGGAGAAGAAGGAUGGAUCGUUAAGGAUGGUUGUAGAUUAUCAAGGAUUGAAUGAAGUAACGAUCAAGAACAAGUACCCACUACCGAUGAUCAAUGAUCUAUUUGAUCGAUUGCAAGGAGCUAAGGUAUUUUCCAAGAUCGAUCUGCGAUUAGGAUACCACCAGUUGAAGAUUCGAGAACAGGAUAUUCCGAAGACAGCUUUUACCACCAGGUAUGGGCUGUACGAGUAUACCAUUAUGUCAUUUGGUCUGACUAAUGCACCUGCCUAUUUUAUGAACAUGAUGAACAAAGUUUUUAUGGAGUUCUUGGAUAAGUUCGUCGUAGUGUUCAUUGAUGAUAUCCUGGUUUAUUCGAAGAAUGAAGAGGAGCAUAAGGAGUAUUUGCGUUUGGUACUUGGAAAGCUCAAAGAAUAUCAAUUAUAUGCCAAGUUCAGCAAAUGUGAGUUUUGGUUGAAGGAAGUAGGAUUCCUCGGACACGUUAUAUCAGGAGAAGGUAUAGCAGUUGAUCUCACUAAAGUUGAAACCAUGACCAAGUGGGAAGCCCCAACAACAGUUGGAGAAAUCCGGAGUUUUCUUGGACUCGCAGGAUACUACCGGAGAUUUAUUGAGAAUUUCUCAAAGAUUGCGAAGACUAUGGCUGAGUUGUUAAAGAAAGAUACGAAGUUCAUAUGGACAGAGGAAUGUGAGGCUAGCUUCCAGGAAUUGAAGAAACGUUUGGUUACCUCACCAGUGUUGAUUUUGCCAGACCAGACCAAAGAUUAUGAGGUGUAUUGUGACGCUUCACGUCGAGGACUUGGAGCAGUGCUUAUGUAGGAAGGGAGAGUUGUUUCAUAUGCCUCAAGACAACUGAAGCCUCAUGAGUUGAAUUAUGCCACGCAUGAUUUGGAGUUAGCAGCCGUAGUGCAUGCUUUAAAAACAUGGAGGCAUUUCCUCAUUGGAAAUCAUUGUGAGGUGUACACGGAUCAUAAGAGUUUGAAAUACAUCUUCACACAGAAGGAGUUAAACCUCAGACAAAGGAGAUGGUUGGAGCUCAUCAAGGAUUAUGAUAUGAGAUUGCAUUAUCACCCUAGAAAGGCUAAUGUAGUAGCUGACGCAUUAAGCCGUCAAAGCCAUGUCAAUACGUUAAUGACGGGAGAAAUACUAAGGGAGUUAGCCAAAAAUCUUCAUGAACUAUGUUUGGAAAUAGUUCCGAGAGGUUAUGUAGCAGCAAUGGAGAUUCAGUCAACCUUGAUGGAUAAAAUCAAGGAAGCUCAGAAAGCUGACAAAGAGAUUGCCGCUAUAAAGGAGAAACUGAGCAAAGGAAAAGCUAAAGGAUUUCGUGAGGAUGAGCACGACACCUUAUGGUUUGAAGACCGCGUUUAUGUGCCUAAUGACCCGGAGAUCAGGAAGUUGGUUUUGCAAGAGGCACACGACUCACCGUAUUCAAUUCACCCAGGAAAUACCAAGAUGUAUCUAGAUUUGAAGGAUAUUUUCUGGUGGACCGGAAUGAAGAAGGAUAUAGCGGAGUAUGUAGCAGUUUGUGAUGUAUGUCAGAGAGUAAAGGCAGAGCAUCAGAAGCCAGCAGGAUUGUUACAACCAUUGCCGAUACCCGAAUGGAAGUGGGAUAAGCUAGGCAUGGAUUUUAUCACAGGAUUGCCCAGGACUCGUUCAGGCUAUGACUCGAUUUGGGUUGUAGUCGAUCGAUUGAUGAAAGUAGCUCAUUUCAUCCCAGUAAAGACCACUUACACCAGUGCUAAGUUGGCAAAGAUAUACAUGACCAGGAUCGUAUGUCUGCAUGGAGUUCCAAGGAGUAUCGUAUCGGAUAGAGGAACCCAGUUUACCUCAAAGUUCUGGAAGCAGUUGCACGAAAAUUUGGGAACCAGGCUAGAAUUUAGUACAGCUUUUCAUCCACAGACAGAUGGACAGACCGAGAGAGUCAAUCAGAUUUUGGAGGAUAUGUUGAGAGCUUGUGCGCUAGAUUACGGAUCUUGUUGGGAUGAUAAUUUGCCAUAUGCAGAGUUCUCUUACAACAACAGUUAUCAAACCAGUUUAAAGAUGGCCCCUUUCGAAGCUUUGUACGGAAGGAGGUGCAGGACACCGCUGUCGUGGGAUGAAGUUGGAGACCGCCAGUUUUUUGGACCUGACUUGAUUAAGGAGUCUGAACAGAAGGUGAAAUUGAUUCGCGAUAGGCUCAAGGUAGCCCAGUCCAGACAGAAGAGUUAUGCGGAUUCUAAACGCAAGGAGACAGUUUACAAAGUCGGAGACAGAGCUUAUCUUCGAGUAUCUCCACUUCGGGGAACAAAGCGUUUUGGAGUUAAAGGGAAGUUAGCACCACGAUUUGUAUACCAUAUCGAGUUUUGGAGCGUAUGGGAGAAGUGACAUACAAGUUGGAAUUGCCCGAAGGAUUGUCAGGAGUACAUGAUGUGUUCCACGUUUCUCAGUUAAAGAAAUGUCACGCGGAGAUGGCUGACAUACCGUUGAGAGACACAGUGCCUUUGGAAACUAUUCAGUUGGAUAAAGAUUUGACCUACGAGGAGAAACUAGUCAAGAUUCUCGAGUUUGCCAACCGAGUUACUCGCAGCAAGGUUAUCAAGUUUUGCAAAGUUCCGUGGAACCACCACAUGGAGGAUGAAGCCACGUGGGAGCGAGAGGAGGAUUUGCUCAAAGACCACCCUCACCUAUUUUCUAGCCAACCCGAAUCUCGAGGGCGAGAUUCAUCUCAAGGGGGGUAGGUUUGUAACAUCCCAAAUUUUCAAUUUGGAAUAGUAUACAUUAGAUCAUCAUGCAUAUCAUAUUUUAUUUUGCAUUUUGGUUGAUCCUAGAAAUUCUACACAACUCAAUGACCCACGGAGAGAGUUGGGAAUUUCGUUAUUUUCAUAUUUGAGUUUUCUCAAAUUUUGAGAAUAGGAUCGUUUGAUUUUAUUUAUUUUAUCAUCAAUUAUUUCUAUUACAAAAAUAUGAGAGAGGGAAUAAAAUGACUUUCCCAAAAUAAAGAAAUAUUGAGGAUUUAAUAAUAAAAUCAAAUAAGAUUUUAUUUCGGAGUUUUUCGGUGUUUUAUUUGAAUUUAGGAAAAAUGUGUGUUUUCAAAAUUGCAUUUAGGUCCCAAAUAAAUGUUCACCUUGUGCGGAUUGAUUUUAGAAGCCCGCGAAAAUUUAUUUCAGAAUUUUUGGAGUCCGUUAAGUAUUUCUUUUCAUUUUUCUUCCGAGCGGAAUAAUAAAAAAACGAACCGACCUACGGGUCGUGUCCGACUAGGACUCCGGCCCGAGGGGGGCUUUAUAAGCCGGGGCAGCCCACCCCGAGCGAAACCCUAGCCAGCCCCCAGCCCAGCCGCCGCCGACGUCCGCCGCCGCCGCCGCCGGAUUCCGUCGCCGAGGUUCGUCGCGCCUCAAUUUACGUGCCGAAAAAAAAGGAAAAAAAAUCGGCAUUCGUCAUUUUUCUUUUUCUCGGAUUAAAUCCGCGAUUUUUCUGAUCGUGAUUCCUGAUCCGAUUUUCGUUUUAGUUUAACUUUUCGCUCGUUUAUCGGAAUCAGGCGAUUCAAGCGCCUAGGGAUUCGUCUCAAAACCCUCUAUCCGUUUAACCAACUUAAACAAGUUUUUGUUACUGUAAAAUUUGCCCUAGAUCCAGAUUAGUAGUACGAAGUUGUUUUCCUUUGCAGUUUGAUUUUCGUUGCUUCGUUCGAUUUGAUUCUUUUUGCCAACCGGAGUUCUUAAGUUGAACCUUCUGGUUAGAUCUCUUAUUUGAGUUUUACAUGUGCAUUAGAUGAGUACUUAUUGUAUGCUUGUUUGUUUGUUUGCGAUAGAGUACCCGAAGUGCGCCGCAUAUUACUUCGAAUCGUUAGGUUUCGCGGAUCAUCAGCAAGGCAAGUAACACUUUGAUCAUACCUUUUCUACUACCCAGUUUUAUUGCAUUAGAUCAAUCCUCACACAUUGCAUGAUUAGGAUGUAAUUAAAUUGUGGGAUGGGAAGUAGAUGAGGUAGUACCUAUUACCUGUUAUUAUCAAACCUUUGGGAGUUACUUCUACGUUUGCUUAUUAUGCCAUGCUAUGCUAGUAGACGUGGAUUGGGUGAGUGAUAUCCAUGACAGAUGUGAGAUUGUUAAUUUAAUGGUUUAUCUAAGGUGGCAACUUAAACACACAUCUGGGUGGAUUGAGGCACCUAGGUAUUCCAGGACUUGCCUGUUCUCUUUUGGACCACCACCCAGGCUCAAAGGGAUCAUGAGACUAUUCAUACUAGAAACUUCCGUGUGCAGCCACAAGCUAUUAUGGGCUCUAGCAUAGUUUACUAAGUUGUGCGAACUCUUACAGUGGUAGACUAGCAGAUGUAAGGGAUGUAGGUGGUACGGUCUACCCGAUCAUAAGGUGCUAGCGCUUCUGAAAGACUAUGUCUCGGCCAUCCGUCUUCUCAAACACCAUGUAGUGCGAGAAACCAAACGGAGGCGAUCGAGUCUUGUGGGGAAAAGUGCGCAAACCUCUGUAGAGUGUAAUAAACUAAUCAUGGUUAGCCGUGUCCCCGGUUAUGGACAUCUUGAGUAUCUAGUACUUGUAUUUUCAUGUGAAUCUCAACAUGUUACUCUAAAUUAAUUUUGUUGGGUUAUGUUUAAUGAUGAUGCUUAAUUGGGAUUGAGAAUGCUGUCAACCAUUCUCAAUGUUUAACAACCACCAUGGUAGUUAAAUAAAUUUAUUCCUUUGAAGUAGGGAAAAAUUGACUUUACGCAAAACUGUAACCAUAGAGCUUUCCACCAGCCAAAUAUGCAUAUAGUAUAGUUGUUUCAUUCCAUUACUCUCUAUGUGUUACAUUGCCAGCAUAUUCCAUGUGCUGACCCGUUUUCGGGCUGCAACGUUAAUGUUGCAGACUUUUCAGACGACGAUUAAGGAGUUUUUAGGUCAUGGUUAUAUACUCAGUGAUGCCGUUGGAGUUGAUGGACUCACUUAUCUUCCAACCCUUCUGUUGUUAUCGUUAUUAGAUGGCCUUAAGCCUUAUUUAUUGUAAUAAGUUCUCUUAUGAGACACUCGAUGUAAUAAGUGUGUGAUUGCUACUCUGCUAUAAAUCCUCCAAGUACUGUGUGGUGUCAGCAUUACUGAUCCAGGGAUGACACCGGAGCACAGAGAUCAGACUGUUUGAGGUCUGGUCGCUACAGAGAUGGUAUCAGAGCACACGCUGACUAUAGGACACGACCACUAAGCACAAGACCUAGAUCACUAUUCACUCUCUUCUCUUCUGACCUCUCAUCUUUUCUAUUCUUUAGGAUGGCGGAUGCAAGGAACAAGUUCACGCAACCGGAUGAAGAUACACCCUUUGGACGCCACUUGAAGGAAGUCACUAGAUACCUGAACAUAGGAGUACCAAGCUUCACCGGAACCUACAACGCCACUUUACCUGAAGAAGAGCGCUGGAUGAUUCAAGUUCAAGUUCCAGGAAGGACGUUCAUGCCAGUCACUAAGCCCAUAGAAUUUUCUUUUGAUGCACCAACUUGGAGUCUAGGAAAGAGCAUGGCAGCUCACAUCGCCAUGGGACGCAUUGGAGAAGUCUACCGCAAGGAUCUCAAGGAUACUAUCUACCAGAUUUGUGGGCGCUGAGAUGAACACUGGGUGAUGAUCAGCACCAGCAAGGAUAGAUCAAUCACAGCUUUUAUCCAGGAGCUAAACCAGCACAUUCGACGACAGGAGAACCAGAUGUGCACCGACAUGAUAGACCUGAAGAAGGCAAAGACUAGAAUCAAGGAACUGGAGGAAGAACUCAAGGCUACACGUGAAGAUUAUGAAGAGGAAAUUGAAGUAUUGGUGGAGAAGAAUGACGACCUGAUCAAGAGGAUUGGAAUAUUUAUGGGAGACCCUACGCCAGUAGAAGAAGACGAAGAACCUCAAGAAAUUAGCCCGGAAGACUACAUCAUCAUCGACGGCGCCGACUCGGAAGCAGAUAGUAGCGAUGAUGACUAUGUUGAUGAAGCUGGAGCAGAUAUUAUGGAGUCAACGACCGUAGAAUAUUUCUAGUAGACCACCUCGUCAGUAGUAGUAGUCCACCAUGUAAAUAUAGUAUUCCGAGCACUUUUGCGAUAGUUAGAUCGAUUGUAUGCCUUUGUUUGAUUGAUUGAAGUGAAUUGUUUGCUUUUGCCUCAUGUGCAUAUGGGUAGUGUUUUCUCUUAGACCCCCUCUAUUCUUAUAUCUCAUCUUUUCUAAACCCUCAUAUGCCUCCGAGACGUGACCCCGGAUUUGCCUUUCCACCGGAGCUCACCCAGUUGAUCCAGCAGCAGAACACAUUGAUGCAGUUGCUAGUCCAGAAUCAGAAUCAGGGGAAUAACAACAACAACCCACCACCACCACCACCACCUGUUGACCACUUAGCCCGUUUUCUUAGGCUGAAUCCGCCGGUGUUUUCUAGUAGCACCGAGCCGAUAGUAGCAGAUGAUUGGCUUCGCAAGACAGCUAGGGAGUUGACCACAGCAGGAUGCACAGAUGCGGAGAAGGUGAAGUUUGCCGCACAUCAGUUAGAAGGACCCGCAGCAUCAUGGUGGGAGAAUUUCACAGCCACUUUCCCUGUAGACACUGUCACAUGGGACCAGUUUCAGCAGGCUUUUUGUACUGCCCAUGUUUCAACAGGAGCUAUGGCCAUGAAGAAGCGUGAGUUUCGCAACUUGCGCCAAGGAGGAAGGACAGUUGGCCAGUAUGUGGAGGAAUUUAGUAAGUUAGCACGUUAUGCACCAGAUGACGUCGCUACGGAUGCAGCGAAGCAGGAGAAGUUUUUAGAAGGACUGAAUGAUGAGUUGAGCAUGCAGUUGAUGGUAGCCACCUUCAACAACUACCAGGAGUUGGUAGAUCGUGCUCUUAUGAUUGAAGGCAAGCAGCAGCAAAUUGAGAAUCGCAAGAGGAAGUAUGGACAAGGGAAGUAUAAUUCAAGAGCUCAGCAGAAGCCACGUUUUACCCCUAGACCGGGAGGACAUUUUUAGCAUACCCAUGGAGGAGGUAGCUCGCACAAUCACAAUGGCACCAAGAAUGGUAAUGGCAAUGGAGGAAGCAACGGCCAGAAUCGCACCAACCCCUCAACCCCAGCCAAGAAGGACCUAAGCCAAGUCACUUGCUUUAAGUGUUCGAAGACAGGACAUUAUGCCAAUGAAUGUCCUGAAUUACAAAAUGAAAAUAGCAAUGGAAGUUCUAGGAAGAAGCCGAACCCUUUCAAUAGGGGACAAGUGAACCACAUUAGCGUGGAGGAGGUUGAAGCUCAGCCCGAUGCAGUAAUAGGUAAGUUUUUGGUUAAGUCAUUUACUGCACUCGUUCUUUUUUAUACUGGCGCAUCGCAUUCAUACAUCUCAAGGGGAUUUGUGGAUAAGUAUAACCUAUCAACCCAAGCCCUUAGGUCACCCAUGUUAGUAACCUCGCCUGGAGCAGAAUAUAUGGCUAGUCGAUGGUGUGACCGGUUACCAUUAAGGAUUGGUAACUAUGUUUUUCCCUCAGACCUAAUAGUAUUGGAAUCCCAAGGAUUGGAUGUGAUAUUAGGCAUGGAUUGGUUAUCAAAGUAUGAAGGGAAUAUUGAAUGUGCUAGUAAGUCAAUUUUGCUUACCACACCAGAACGGAGAAGGAUCAAGUAUGUAUCCCGGCAUGUGUCAAAGAGAACUCAAGUAAAUUGCUUAACAGGAGUCGUGCAGGAGGAAGUACCAGUGGUAAGGGAUUUCCCUGAUGUAUUUCUAGAGGAGUUGCCAGGCAUGCCACCGGAUAGAGAUAUUGAGUUUUUGAUUGAGCUAUUGCCAGGCACAGGGCCAAUAUCAAAGAUACCAUAUAGGAUGCCAACAAAGGAUUUGGUGGAAAUUAAGAAGCAGAUUAAGGAGUUACUAGAUAAAGGAUAUAUUCGCCCAAGUUCUUUGCCUUGGGGAUCGCCAGUACUUCUAGUGGAGAAGAAGGAUGGAUCGUUAAGGAUGGUUGUAGAUUAUUGAGGAUUGAAUGAAGUAACGAUCAAGAACAAGUACCCACUGCCGAUGAUCAAUGAUCUGUUUGAUCGAUUGCAAGGAGCUAAGGUAUUUUCCAAGAUCGAUCUGCGAUCAGGAUACCACCAGUUGAAGAUUCGAGAACAGUAUAUUCCGAUGACAGCUUUUACCACCAGGUAUGGGCUGUACGAGUAUACCGUUAUGUCAUUUGGUCUAACUAACGCACCUGCCUAUUUUAUGAACAUGAUGAACAAAGUGUUUAUGGAGUUCUUGGAUAAGUUCGUCGUAGUGUUCAUUGAUGAUAUCCUGGUUUAUUCGAAGAAUGAAGAGGAGCAUAACGAGUAUUUGCGUUUGGUACUUGGAAAGCUCAAAGAACAUCAAUUAUAUGCCAAGUUCAGCAAAUGAGAGUUUUGGUUGAAGGAAGUAGGAUUCCUCGGACACGUUAUAUCAGGAGAAGGUAUAGCAGUUGAUCCCACUAAAGUUGAAACCAUGACCAAGUGGGAAGCCCCAACAACAGUUGGAGAAAUCCGGAGUUUUCUUGGACUCGCAGGAUACUACUGGAGAUUUAUUGAGAAUUUCUCAAAGAUUGCGAAGACUAUGACUGAGUUGUUAAAGAAAGAUACGAAGUUCAUAUGGACAGAGGAAUGUGAGGCUAGCUUCCAGGAAUUGAAGAAACAUUUGGUUACCUCACCAGUGUUGAUUUUGCCAGACUAGACCAAAGAUUAUGAGGUGUAUUGUGACGCUUCACGCCGAGGACUUGGAGCAGUGCUUAUGCAGGAAGGGAGAGUUGUUUCAUAUGACUCAAGACAACUAAAGCCUCAUGAGUUGAAUUAUGCCACGCAUGAUUUGGAGUUAGCAGCCGUAGUGCAUGCUUUAAAAACAUGGAGGCAUUUCCUCAUUGGAAAUCAUUGUGAGGUGUACACGGAUCAUAAGAGUUUGAAAUACAUCUUCACACAGAAGGAGUUAAACCUCAGACAAAGGAGAUGGUUGGAGCUCAUCAAGGAUUAUGAUAUGAGAUUGCAUUAUCACCCCGGAAAGGCUAAUGUAGUAGCUGACGCAUUAAGCCGUAAGAGGCAUGUCAAUACGUUAAUGACGAGAGAAAUACCAAGGGAGUUAGCCGAAAAUCUUCGUGAACUAUGUUUGGAAAUAGUUCCGAGAGGUUAUGUAGCAGCAAUGGAGAUUCAGUCAACCUUGAUGGAUAAAAUCAAGGAAGCUCAGAAAGCUGACAAAGAGAUUGCCGCUAUAAAGGAGAAACUGAGCAAAGGAAGAGCUAAAGGAUUUCGUGAGGAUGAGCACGACACCUUAUGGUUUGAAGACCGCGUUUAUGUGCCCAAUGACCCGGAGAUCAGGAAGUUGAUUUUGCAAGAGGCACACGACUCACCGUAUUCAAUUCACCCAAGAAAUACCAAGAUGUAUCUGGAUUUGAAGGAUAUUUUCUGGUGGACCGGAAUGAAGAAGGAUAUAGCGGAGUAUGUAGCAGUUUGUGAUGUAUGUCAGAGAGUAAAGGCAGAGCAUCAGAAGCCAGCAGGAUUGUUACAACCAUUGCCGAUACCCGAAUGGAAGUGGGAUAAGCUACGCAUGGAUUUUAUCACGGGAUUGCCCAGGACUCGUUCAGGCUAUGACUCGAUUUGGGUUGUAGUCGAUCGAUUGAUGAAAGUAGCUCAUUUCAUCCCAGUAAAGACCACUUACACCAGUGCUAAGUUGGCAAAGAUAUACAUGACCAGGAUCGUAUGUCUGCAUGGAGUUCCAAGGAGUAUCGUAUCGGAUAGAGGAACCCAGUUUACCUCAAAGUUCUGGAAGCAGUUGCACGAAACUUUGGGAACCAGGCUAGAAUUCAGUACAGCUUUUCAUCCACAGACAGAUGGACAGACCGAGAGAGUCAAUCAGAUUUUGGAGGAUAUGUUGAGAGCUUGUGCGCUAGAUUACGGAUCUAGUUGGGACGAUAAUUUGCCAUAUGCAGAGUUCUCUUACAACAACAGUUAUCAAACCAGUUUAAAGAUGGCCCCUUUCGAAGCUUUGUACAGAAGGCGGUGCAGGACACCGCUGUCGUGGGAUGAAGUUGGAGACCGCCAAUUUUUUGGACCUGACUUGAUUAAGGAGUCUGAACAGAAGGUGAAAUUGAUUCGCGAUAGGCUCAAGGUAGCCCAGUCCAGACAGAAGAGUUAUGCGGAUUCUAAACGCAAGGAGACAGUUUACAAAGUCGGAGACAGAGCUUAUCUUCGAGUAUCUCCACUUCGGGGAACAAAGCGUUUUGGAGUUAAAGGGAAGUUAGCACCACGAUUUGUAGGACCAUAUCGAGUUUUGGAGCGUAUGGGAGAAGUGGCCUACAAGUUGGAAUUACCCGAAGGAUUGUCAGGAGUACAUGAUGUGUUCCACGUUUCUCAGUUAAAGAAAUGUCACGCAGAGAUGGCUGACAUACCGUUGAGAGACACAGGGCCUUUGGAAACUAUUCAGUUGGAUAAAGAUUUGACCUAUGAGGAGAAACCAGUCAAGAUUCUCGAGUUUGCCAACCGAGUUACUCGCAGCAAGGUUAUAAAGUUUUGCAAAGUUCCGUGGAGCCACCACACGGAGGAUGAAGCCACCUGGGAGCGAGUGGAGGAUUUGCUCAAAGACCACCCUCACCUAUUUUCUAGCCAACCCGAAUCUCGAGGGCGAGAUUCAUCUUAAGGGGGGUAGGUUUGUAACAUCCCAAAUUUUCAAUUUGGAAUGUUAUACAUUGGAUCAUCAUGCAUAUCAAAUUUUAUUUUGCAUUUCGGUUGAUCCUAGAAAUUCUACGCAACUCAAUGACCCACGGAGAGAGUUGGGGAUUUCGUUAUUUUCAUAUUUGAAUUUUCUCAAAUUUUGAGAAUAGGAUCAUUUGAUUUUAUUUAUUUUAUCAUUAAUUAUUUCUAUUACAAAAAUAUGAGAGAGGGAGUAAAAUGACUUUCCCAAAAUAAAGAAAUAUUGAGGAUUUAAUAAUAAAAUCAAAUAAGAUUUUAUUUCGUAGUUUUUCGGUGUUUUAUUUGAAUUUAGGAAAAAUGUGCGUUUUUCAAAUUUGCAUUUAGGUCCCAAAUAAAUGUUCACCUUGUGCGCCUUGAUUUUAGAAGCCCGUGAAAAUUUAUUUCUGAAUUUUUGGAGUUCGUUUAGUAUUUCUUUUUAUUUUUCUUCUGAGCGGAAUAAUAAAAAAACGAACCGACCUACGGGCCGUGUCCGACUAGGACUCUGCCUCGAGGGUGGCUUUAUAAGCCGGGGCAGCCCGCCCCGAGGGAAACCCUAGCCAGCCCCCAGCCCAGCCCAGCCGCCGCCGCCGCCGGAUUCCGCCGCCGAGGUUCGUCGCGCCUCGAUUUCCGUGCCGAAAAAAAAAGAGAAAAAAAAUCGGCGUUCGUCGUUUUUCUUUUUCUCGGAUUAAAUCCGAGAUUUUUCUGAUCGUGAUUCGUGAUCCGAUUGUCAUUUUAGUUUAACUUUUCGCUCGUUUAUCGGAAUCAGGCGAUUCAAGCGCCUAGGGAUUCGUCUCGAAACCCUCUAUCCGUUUAACCAACUUAAACAAGUUUUUUUACUGUAAAAUUUGCCCUAGAUCCAUAUUAGUAGAACGAAGUUGUUUUCUUUCGCAGUUUGAUUUUCGUUGCUUCGUUCGAUUUGAUUCUUUUUGCCAACCGGAGUUCUUAAGUUGAACCUUCUGGUUAGAUCUCUUAUUUGAGUUUUACCUGUGCAUUAGAUGAGUACUUAUUGUUUGCUUGUUUGCUUGUUUGCGAUAGAGUACCCGGAGUGCGCCUCAUGUUACUUCGAAUCGUUAGGUUUCGCGGAUCAUCAGCAAGGCAAGUAACACUUUGAUCAUACCUUUUCUACUACCUAGUUUUAUUGCAUUAGAUCAAUCCUCACACAUUGCAUGAUUAGGAUCUAAUUAAAUUAUGGGAUGGGAAGUAGAUGAGGUAGUACCUAUUACCUGUUAUUAUCAAACCUUUGGGAGUUACUUCUACGUUUGCUUAUUAUGCCAUGCUAUGCUAGUAGACGUGGAUUGGGUGAGUGAUAUCCAUGACAGAUGUGAGAUUGUUAAUUUAAUGGUUUAUCUAAGGUGGCAACUUAAACACACAUCUGGGUGGAUUGAGGCACCUGGGUAUUCCAGGACUUGCCUGUUUUCUUUUGGACCGCCACCCAGGCUCAAAGGGAUCAUGAGACUAUUCAUACUAGAAACUUCCGUGUGCAGCCACAAGCUAUUAUGGGCUCUAGCAUAGUUGACUAAGUUGUGCGAACUCUUACAGUGGUAGACUAGCAAAUGUAGGGGAUGUAGGUGGUACGGUCUACCCGAUCGUAAGGUGCUAGAGCUUCUGAAAGACUAUGUCUCGGUCAUCCGUCUUCUCAAACACCAUGUAGUGCGAGAAACCAAACGGAGGCGAUCAAGUCUUGUGGGGAAAAGUGCGCAAACCUCUGCAGAGUGUAAUAAACUUAUCAUGGUUAGCCGUGUCCCCGGUUAUGGACAUCUUGAGUAUCUAGUACUUGGAUUUUCAUGUGAAUCUCAACAUGUUACUCUAAAUUAAUUUUGUUGGGUUAUGUUUAAUGAUGAUGCUUAAUUGGGAUUGAGAAUGCUGUCAACCAUUCUCAAUGUUUAACAACCACCAUGAUAGUUAAAUAAAUUUAUUCCUUUGAAGUAGGGAAAAAUUGGCUUUACGCAAAACUGUAACCAUAGAACUUUCCACCAGCCAAAUAUGCAUAUAGUAUAGUUGUUUCAUUCCAUUACUCUCUAUGUGUUAAAUUGCCAGCAUAUUCCAUGUGCUGACCUGUUUGCGGGCUGCAACGUUAAUGUUGCAGACUUUUUAGACGACGAUUAAGGAGUUUUUAGGUCGUGGUUCUAUACUCAGUGAUGUCGUUGGAGUUGAUGGGCUCACUUAUCUUCCAUGCCUUCCGCUGUUAUAGUUAUUAGAUGGCCUUAAGCCAUAUUUAUUGUAAUAAGUUCUCUUAUGAGACACUCGAUGUAAUAAGUGUGUGAUUGCUACUCUGCUAUAAAUCCUCCAAGUACUGUGUGGUGUCAGCAUUACUGAUCUAGGGAUGACACCGGAGCACAGAGAUCAGACUGUUUGAGGUCUGGUCGCUACAAAAACCCUACGUCCUGCUUGAUUAAUAUUGAAGAUAUGGGUGUUACAAGAGUAGAUCUACCACGAGAUCAGAGAGGCUAAACCCUAGAAGCUAGCCUACGGUAUGAUUGUAUGUUGUGAUUGUUGUCCUACGGACUAAAACCCUCCGGUUUAUAUAGACACCUGAGAGGGUUAGGGUUACACAAGAUCGGUUACAAAGGAGGAGAUAUCCAUAUACGUAUUGCCUAGCUUUCCUUCCACGUUAAGUAGAGUCCCAUCUGGACACGAGACGAAGUGUUCAAUCUUGUAUCUUCAUAGUCUAACAGUCCGGCCAAUGGAGAUAGUCCGGCUGUCCGGAGACCCCCUAAUCCAGGACUCCCACAGUAGCCCCUGAACCAGGCUUCAAUGACGAUGAGUCCGGCGUGCAGUUGUCUUCGGCAUUGCAAGGCGGGUUCCUUCUCCGAAUACAUUACAGAAGAAGUUGAAUACGAGGAUAGUGUUCGACACUGCAAAAUAAGUCCCACAUUUCACCGUAGAGAGAAUAAUGUUUUUUCGCGGAUCUAAUUUGCUGGCUUGUUUUGAUAGCAUGACGUUAUGUCAUGGCCCGGUGAUUAUUUGAACCGUUUCUUUUAACCAGCCCCGCACAUAACGCGAGGCAGUUUUUCGACACGUCUUGUCAAAGCAGAGAUCGUAUCCCCUUAUUACAGGAUUCUCAUCAAUACGGGCGUGGGUAACCCAACCGCGCCAUCAAUUACGGCGCUUGGGGGAUAAGCGAGUUUUACUAGGCAAGUGGGGACGUUUAAUUUUGUCCGCCCAUAUAAAGGGAUAAGGAUUCACCUUUCUAUCCACGCCUUCGUCCUCCUCUGCUCAUCCGCUCCCGCAUACUCGAGCUCUAGCGCCCAAGUCCUCACUUCCAUCUCAACCUUCUCCAACCAUGUCCGGAGCGGGAGGCAAGUGGAUGGUCUCCUCCGUCACGGAGGGAGACAUCAAGAAACUGAGGAGAGCCGGAUACCUGCACGACGACAUCGCGCACCGGCUCCCAGAUGAGGGACAGCUCAUCCCCACCCCCGAGCCCCAUGACAGGGUGGUAUUUCUCACCCAUUUGCUUCGCAGACUAGGAUUCCCUCUCCAUCCCUUCGUCCGGGGGCUCAUGUUUUAUUAUGGCCUGGAUUUCCAUGAUCUAGCCCCAAACUUCAUCCUCAACAUCUCGGCGUUUAUCGUCAUGUGUGAGGCCUUCCUCCGCAUCAAGCCCCACUUCGGCUUAUGGCUGAAGACCUUCAAUGUCAAGCCGAAGGUAGUGAGCAGCCGCCAGGCGGAGUGCGGAGGCGCCAUGGUGGGCAAGAUGCCCAACAUCACUGUGAUGCCCGGGUAAUCAAGCUACAGUAACCAUCUGGUAAUGAUGCCACGUCACCUCGAUUAUUGUUGAUAAUCUCGCGUUAGUUCAGAACCGAUCCAAAUUCAAAUUUGAAUUUAAGUCAAACAAUAAAAGUUUUCAAACAUUAAAAUAAAAAUGUUUGGUUUGUACGAAAUAUUACAAAGGUAAUUAUGGUGCAACAAACCCAUUUUUAUAAAAUGCCUAAGUAAUUUAAAAUGAUUUAAAAAUAGAAAAGAAAAUAAAUAAAAGAAAGAAAAAUACAAAAGAGAAAACAAAAAAAAGGAAAAGGACCCCCCGGGCCAGCCGACCCAACAGGCUGGCCCAUUCGGCCACACCGACCGGUCCAACCUCUCCCCUCCAUAACCCCCCACCGGGGGGAAAACCCUAACCCAUNNNNNNNNNNNNNNNNNNNNNNNNNNNNNNNNNNNNNNNNNNNNNNNNNNNNNNNNNNNNNNNNNNNNNNNNNNNNNNNNNNNNNNNNNNNNNNNNNNNNNNNGCCUCGACCCCGCGUCGGCCCCCCCUCCUCUCUCCCGAUCUGGGUCGGGAUCCAGAGGAGGCCACCGCCGCCCGGAACCCCCUUCGCCGGACCACCUCGCCGGGAUGCUCCUUCACGAUGACGCCGUCCUUGUCCCCCUCCACGACGGCCCUCCCCGACCUCCACCGAGCACACGGCCCUGUUCCCUGCUCCUCGAUGUGAGCUCCGCCUCGCCCCGGCCUCUUCUCUCUCCCUCGCUCCCUCGCCGCGCGCUCACUACGUCGACGGCCGUGCCCCAGCGCCCCUGGACGCGCCCUGGCCGUGCGCGCGCACGCGUCCGCGCACCCACGCUGGUCUUGCCCCACCCAUGGUCGCGCCCCCGCGCUCCCUCUCGUCCUCUCCCCACCCGGUUGGCGUCCGGCCUCCCCUGCCUUGACGACCUGCCGGGUCCGCCGCCCCACGGCCCCCUGGGCAUGUGCCCGCUCGGGCUAUGCCCUGCGCCCAACGCCCGUUAGCAGCCACUAGCACCCGAAACCCGCAAGGCCCCUGUGGGCCAAUGACGUGGGGGCCCAGCCCCAGAAGUUUAAAAAAGGGAAUUAAAUAAAUAAAUAAAUAAUGAAAAUAAUUAAUUAAUUAAUUAAUUAACCAAUUAAUUAACUUAAUUAAUUCUGAUUAAAUUAACCAAAUAAGAUUAUUUAACCUAAUGAUUAGUUAACCUAAUUAACUACUGUUAAUUAGCUAAUUAAUUAGUAUGAGAGUGGGGCCCACCCACUAAUUAAUUUUGAUUAGAUUAAUUAAAAUAUUUAAUUAAAAUGUGUCACUGACCAGUGGGACCCACUCUGUUGAUGUCAUUAAUUCAUUUUCGAAUUAAUUAAUUAAUUAAAUAAAUUCUAGAAAUUAAUAAAAUCUUUAGAAAAUCAUAUCUUUUAAUCCGUAACUCGGAUGAAAAUACUUUCUACAUGAAAGUUGCUCAGAACGACGAGACGAAUCCGGAUACGCAGCCCAUUCGUUCGCCACGCACCCCUAACAUAUCAAACUCGCAACUUUCCCCCUCCGUCUCCUCUGCCCGAAAACGCGAAACACCGGGGAUACUUUCCCGGAUGUUUCCCCCCUUCACCGGUAUCACCUCAUACCGCUUUAGGGCACCUCUAGCACCGAUACGUGUCUUGUCAUGCAUCGUUAUGCAUCUAUUUGCUCAAAUAUUUAUUGUUUCUUCCCCCUCUUCUCUCGCUAGACACCGAGACCGACGCCGCUGCUACCCAGUACGACUACGUAGUUGUCGACCUCUCUCUCUUGCCAGAGCAACCAGGCAAGCCCCCCUUUGAUCACCAGAUAUCGCCCACUCUUCUCUAUACUGCUUGUAUUAGAGUAGUGUAUCAUGUUACUUCUUUCCGUUAUUCCUAUCCUGAUGCAUAGCCUAUCCUUGCUACUACUGUUGUUACCAUUAUCUGCUAUCCUACUGCUUAGUAUAGGAUGCUAGUGUUCCAUCAGUGGCCCUACACUCUUGUCCGUCUGCCAUGCUAUACUACUGGGCCGUGAUCACUUCGGGAGGUGAUCACGGGAAUAUACUAUAUACUUUACACAGUUACAUUACCUGUGGUAUUGUUCGGAGUUGGGGGCUGAAGGGGCAGGUGGCUCCAUCCCGGUAGAGGUGGGCCUGGGUUCCCGAUGGCCCCCGACUGUUACUUUGUGGCGGAGCGACAGGGCAGGUUGAGACCACCUAGGAGAGAGGUGGGCCUGGCCCUGGUCGGUGUUCGCGGAUACUUAACACGUUUAACGAGAUCUUGGUAUUUGAUCUGAGUCUGGCUAUUGACCUAUACGCACUAACCAUCUACGCGGGGACAGUUAUGGGCACUCGAUGUCGUGGUAUCAGCCGAAGCCUUCAUGACGUCAGCGACUGAGUGGCGCGCGCCGGAUUGGACCGUAAGCCUGCUCUUGUAUUGAGGGGGCUAGUUCUGCUUCCGGCCGCGUACGCAACGUGCAGGUGUGCAAUGGGCGAUGGGCCCAGACCCCUACGCCAUAGGAUUUAGACCGACGUGCUAACAUCUCUGUUGUGCCUAGGUAGGGCUGCGACGUGUUGAUCUUCUGAGGCCAGGCAUGACCCAGGAAAGUGUGUCCGGCCAAAUGGGAUCGAGCAUGUUGGGUUAUGUGGUGCACCCCUGCAGGGAAGUUAAUCUAUUCGAAUAGCCAUGAUCUUUGGUAACAGGACGACUUGGAGUUGUACCUUGACCUUAUGACAACUAGAACCGGAUACUUAAACAAACACGCCCUUACAAGUGCCAGAUACAACCGGUGAUCGCUCUCUCACAUGGCGACGAGGGGAGGAUCAUCGGUUAGGAUUAUGCUAUACGAUGCUACUUGAUGCUACUUGGUGAACUUACCAUCUACUCUCUCCUACAUGCUGCAAGAUGGAGGUGGCCAGAAGCGUAGUCUUGGACAGGAUUAGUUAUCCCCCUCUUAUUCUGGCAUUCUGCAGUUCAGUCCACAUAUGAUACCCUUAUUCCAUUUGAUACCCAUGCAUAUGUAGUGUAGCUCCUUGCUUGCGAGUACUUUGGAUGAGUACUCACGGUUGCUUUCUUCCCCUUUUUCCCCCUUUCCUUUCUUUCUGGUUGUCGCAACUAGAUGCUGGAGUCCAGGAGCCAGACGCCACCGUUGAUGACGACUACUAGACUCGGGAGGUGCCUACUACUACGUGCAGCCCCCUGUCGACGACCAAGAGUAGUUUAGGAGGAUCCCAGGCAGGAGGCCUGCGCCUCUUUCGAUCUGUAUCCCAGUUUGUGUUAGCCUUCUUAAGGCAAACUUGUUUAACUUAUGUUUGUACUCAGAUAUUGUUGCUUCCGCUGACUCGUCUAUGAUUGAGCUCUUGUAUUCGAGCCUUCGAGGCCCCUGGCUUAUAAUAUGAUGCUUGUAUGACUUAUUUUAUUUGUAGAGUUGUGUUGUGAUAUCUUCCCGUGAGUCCCUGAUCUUGAUCGUACACGUUUGUGUGUAUGAUUAGUGUACGAUUGAAUCGGGGGCGUCACAAGCUGGUAUCAGAGCCGACUGCCUGUAGGAAUCCCCCUUCCAAACUCCUUGGCCGAAGUGGAGUCUAGUCAUUGAAAAAGUUUUUACUAACAUGGCUGUGCGGCUUACGGGCCCACGUUGCCAUUGGGUGGUAUUAGGAUCUUUUAUUCCUCAACCUCUACUCUGGGACUCUGACCUCUCUUCUAUUCAGGUUAAAUGAUUUUGCUAAAAUCUAACAUUAGGAUCUUGUUAUCACUUUCACCCGGAGAGCCCCUUAUUACUGUUGAUCGUCUGCUGCGCGUGAAGACCCUGAAGAUACUCUCCGCUGUUAACCAGAGAACUUGUGUUCAUCGCAUUUGCAAUUCCCCUUCCACCGUAAACCCUUAUGGGUAACUACUUGCAAUUUUUAUUCUUACAUUCAUCCCCAGUUGGUAUUGUUAUUACAAGAUACCCCGAAAUUCUCUCUGUUGUCCCGAGAAUCCUUUGAUCUUACUACCUUGCUGUUCUUUGCCACAGGAAUACCACUAUGGAUAAUUUCUAGCACUCACCGGAUAUUUGCUCAUUCCCAGUUGUUCAUGUGUUUCACAAAAGUCUUCGAGAUACUAUUCGAUCUUUCGAAAAUCCUAAGCAGUCUAUUGCUCUUGAAAUUCUUGCUUGCUUGCAUUAUGUUUAAUCCCAUAAGUCCCAUAAUCUUAUUGGCAUCCCUUGUCAUUAUCAUUUUGAGUACGUUGAUUCGAUUUGUUGCGAAUGCUCGCAAUCCUCAAUCAGAUCCUAGAAUUCUUCCUUCCGGCUCAGACGUCAUUUUAAACAUGAGCUGGUUCUCGCCAAUCAAAUUAUCAUCGAUUGUGCCCCUAAGUAUAUUGAACUUAUCCAUCCUUGAUCAGAGCGUCUGCUUCUGAUCCUUCGCUUUGUAAAUCAUAAUUCCUUUGCAAUUGAGCUCUAAGUUACUCAGUUGUUUCUAUAAUCCAAUGUCUUUGCAUUGAUUCUUCCUCUGGUUGUGAGCCGAUACUCACAUCAGAUCCUUUAUGGACCAUCAGAACCUUGUUGGAUAUUAUCAGACAACGUCCUUCAUAUUCAAUCACUUUGGAAGUUCUUUCCCUGAUGCAUAAUGCCUUCAGUAAAUUGUAUCCUCUCGUUUUGUCACCCAUGCUCUACUAUCGAGCUUAUGUCAUUUACUAUUGAAGCUUGUGGUAUAAGUUCCCAAGAUGCCUCGAUGGGUUGAACCAACGCCUUCCCUAAUCCGUGUGAACCCGAAAGAUUUCGCAGGUCAUACUUAUCUGGUAUUUCACCAGGUAAAACUUUCAACAACUAAUGUCAUUUUCGGAAUACGAGAGGUGAAUGAAAGGUUAUGCAUUGAAGAAGUGGGAGUCGACCUUGAACCUUUGUGUUCAUGCCCAUGGACACAAUGUAGAUCCUAUCAUGGAAGCUUCUUGCAAUAAUAACUAUUUCGUUGAUAUAAUAUCGUCUGGUAUCUGUGAACUGAUCCUAUGCAAUCAUGGUUUCGACCAUAUUUUCUCUUUGAUCCCAUUUUUCGGACAAGUUAAAGCACUUGUCUUUUGCAAGUCAAUACACCAGUCCAACCUCUACCUUGAUCUACAGUCGAGUAUUACCCUCUGGUAUCUCGAGUAUAUCUAAGAACUAUGUUGCAUCUUAUGAGUCUCCAUCAGCUAUUAUUUCUCACUGAUUCCAAUUUUUCAUGGGUUAUGAGUUGUUAGUCGCUCAAGAACACCGGUAAGUGAACCGAUUCCGCACUUUGGUUCGAUAACUCUAAGUAAUAUUUGUUGCUUAUGAGUUUAAUAAUCCUUCAAGUCAUUCCUAGCCUGAUCGGCUAUACCAUUAUUGGGCUAAUUUUUAAAUGUGCUACCUGGUCGUGCUUCACGGAGCACAAAUUUCGACAGUGAGCUAAUCUUAUGUCGAUCUUCUUUGUCAUAUCAUUUCUCCUUGAAUAGAAAACUUGAUUUCGAGUUUGUUUCAUACCCAUGGUUCUGAUAAUUUUCGCUUCACCGUUCCUUUUGCUUGAUGUCAUCGAUGAUCGAUUAUAUCCUCAUGAAACCCCUCGACAAGUGUCUCAUGAUCAUCAUCAACAUUUUGACCCCUUCCAGGAUAUCAAUUGAAUUCAUGAUGGGAAACACCAUUCUUGCCCCUCGAUGAUUUGUGUUAUCAUCGGCAACUUUCUUGCCUUCCCCCAACACAAACUUGUUCAUGAUUGUGUUGUACCUUGAUUUCCUUGCUAUCUAGCUUAGGUUAUGUUCUACCUUGUAGUAUUACUGUCUUCUAUAUCAAGAAUGUUGUGAGGAUUGCACCAUAUCUUAAGAAUUCUUGAAAUUGUGAUACUUCUCACCAUCACCAUUCUUUCUUGGUUCCCGUGUUGAUUCCAACCGGGAUACCAACAAGUGAGCGGUGCUCUUUGGAUUCUGUACUUCUAGCAACCCUAUUGCUUUGAAGUUAAUGAUCGAUAGUUCAUUCUUAGCCUAUCGGCUAUUGAAUCACCAUUCUAACAAUUGAUCAGGCUACCUAAGCCCAUAUCUCGCGUGCACCUUUCAACCAAAGUUUAAUUGUGUAUGUUUUCCUCAAGCAUACAUCAAUAUAUCAUUUGAUCCGACAAAUGUUAUCUCCUUGUUUUCAUAAUUGUGGGAAUCCGUCUUUUUGGAAAUCUCGAGGAAUUGUCACUGAGUCCAUCAGCCACCCCCUCUUCCUCUUAUUGGUUUAAGGAUGGACUCACUUCCAUAGUUCAUGUCCCGAGAAUCUUACAAUGUCAUCUCGUCAAUUUGUGUCGCACCUUUUCUCAGGCAUUCCGAGUCUAAGGUUUCCUAACACUGAUCAGAUCUGAAUCUCGGUCAGAUCUGAUGGUUGGAACAUAUUCCCAAGAGUUAUAACACUGGUCUUUUAUAUGACCCGGUAAGGUGAUGUCAUGCCAUGCACACCUGGCCGUAGGCCCUAUUGUUAUAACUUCCCUUUUAGCAAGGUUAACCAUUCUGCCAUGACGAAAUUGUAAAACUUAUUCUAUAAGUUGUUUUCGGUGGAUCCUUUGUAUCCAAAGUCUGAUCUUCACCUGGAGACCAUGCCAAUGCUAUCUCGAAGCAUGUCUAUGGUACUUCGAUUUUCCACAAGAGCAUUUGAAUCCCAAUGCUAAAUGUUUCCUGCUCAAUUAUCCAAACACCGUUGUAUGGGUAAUGUCAGGAAAUUUCUCUCCCCAUACUUAAAGAAUUUUCUACAUUAUAUCCUGUCAUGGAUAUCAUGCUCUGCUUGUCCAUGGGAAGGAUAUAUCCCUGAAAUAUGUGUUUAAACACAUUGUCCUUUCCAUUGUUCUGUUUAAAUCUGAUGAUCACCUUUUCCUUUCCAUUGUUUUGUUUAACCUUAUUGGUGAUAUAUAUGAUCUAAGCAGUAAUAUUCUCAUGCUUAUGUAAACACCAUGGUGUACAACUCAGUCAGUAAGACCCUGUUACUAUUGUUGAUGAUAUUCUGGUAACCACCGAUGGGCGAGAACCUUGCCUAUUGGUCCGCCUCGUUUCGACGAGCAGGAAAAUGGUUCUCUUCGUCCCUCACCCUUGGUACCGAUGUUGUUGCCGACAUAAAUGACAGGCUAUCCUCCGACAUGCCUUGCUUACAUGAUCGCGCAAGAUGUCACCACCUUUCCUACAUUUAACCAACAUGGUGGGCCCAUAACCCACAGUUCCACAGGAUCGAAACCUGACUCUCCUGUACACCCCAUGUUCCCAAAGUUAUUCCUCGCGCGUGGCUUCGUAUGUAAUUCACGAGCCACCUUCCGUGUGAUCAUCAAUUCUGGUAUUAAACACAAUACCUAUAACCGUUGCCUUGUUUCAGGCAACGGCGAUUGUCUAUCCGCUUCAAACUUCUUAUGGUACCUUCUUACUUUGCUCUCGAUGUGUUUCAUUUGUUCAACUCGAGAGAUACUCUUAUGAUCAUUCUUGGGAUACCCCCGCCCAGAUGACUUUCUCUUAUAACAUUCAAUUGUUGUAAAGCUGCUCCGUUACCUAUUCGUAAAUAUGAUGGAGUUCCUGAAGAAAAGAGCCGACUUCAUCAUGAGGACCUGAAACAGAGGAAUGAAGAAAUCAAUGUAAUGGAUCGACCUCUUCGAGAAGAGCAACCAAGACCGAAAAGAUUCGCUAGAUUCAUUAUCAAACUUUCCCCCCUUACACUACCUCUUAAAUCUCGGGACGAGAUUUCUUGUAGUGGAGGAGAAUUGUGAUGCCCGGGUAAUCAAGCUACAGUAACCAUCUGGUAAUGAUGCCACGUCACCUCGAUUAUUGUUGAUAAUCUCGCGUUAGUUCAGAACCGAUCCAAAUUCAAAUUUGAAUUUAAGUCAAACAAUAAAAGUUUUCAAACAUUAAAAUAAAAAUGUUUGGUUUGUACGAAAUAUUACAAAGGUAAUUAUGGUGCAACAAACCCAUUUUUACAAAAUGCCUAAGUAAUUUAAAAUGAUUUAAAACAGAAAAGAAAAUAAAUACAAGAAAGAAAAAUACAAAAGAGAAAACAAAAAAAGGAAAAGGACCCCCCGGGCCAGCCGACCCAACAGGCUGGCCUAUUCGGCCGCACCGACCGGUCCAACCUCUCCCCUCCAUAACCCCCCACCGGGGGGAAAACCCUAACCCAUCCACCCCGUCAACCCCACUCCCCAUNNNNNNNNNNNNNNNNNNNNNNNNNNNNNNNNNNNNNNNNNNNNNNNNNNNNNNNNNNNNNNNNNNNNNNNNNNNNNNNNNNNNNNNNNNNNNNNNNNNNNNNNNNNNNNNNNNNNNNNNNNNNNNNNNNNNNNNNNNNNNNNNNNNNNNNNNNNNNNNNNNNNNNNNNNNNNNNNNNNNNNNNNNNNNNNNNNNNNNNNNNNNNNNNNNNNNNNNNNNNNNNNNNNNNNNNNNNNNNNNNNNNNNNNNNNNNNNNNNNNNNNNNNNNNNNNNNNNNNNNNNNNNNNNNNNNNNNNNNNNNNNNNNNNNNNNNNNNNNNNNNNNNNNNNNNNNNNNNNNNNNNNNNNNNNNNNNNNNNNNNNNNNNNNNNNNNNNNNNNNNNNNNNNNNNCCAACCCAGUCGCCGGGCACCCCAUCGCCUCGACCCCGCGUCGGCCCCCCCUCCUCUCUCCCGAUCUAGGUCGGGAUCCAGAGGAGGCCACCGCCGCCCGGAACCCCCUUCGCCGGACCACCUCGCCGGCCUGCUCCUCCACGACGACGCCGUCCUUGUCCCCCUCCACGACGGCCCUCCCCGACCUCCACCGAGCACACGGCCCCGUUCCCUGCUCCUCGAUGUGAGCUCCGCCUCGCCCCGACCUCUUCUCUCUCCCUCGCUCCCUCGCCCCGCGCUCACUACGUCGACGGCCGCGCCCUGGUGCCCCUGGACGCGCCCUGGCCGUGCACGCGCAUGCGUCCGCGCACCUGCGCUGGUCUUGCCCCGCCCAUGGUCGCGCCCCCGCGCUCCCUCUCGUCCUCUCCCCGCACCCGGCCACGCCCGAUACAUGCUCGUCGCGCGGGCACAAGCCCGUGCCGCCCGUGGCCCCCUGUCGACGCCCUGCGCCCCGUGCGCCCACGCCGGCGUCGUCCGCUGCUGCCGGCACACGAAGGCCCCCUGCUUCCCUGUCGUNNNNNNNNNNNNNNNNNNNNNNNNNNNNNNNNNNNNNNNNNNNNNNNNNNNNNNNNNNNNNNNNNNNNNNNNNNNNNNNNNNNNNNNNNNNNNNNNNNNNNNNNNNNNNNNNNNNNNNNNNNNNNNNNNNNNNNNNNNNNNNNNNNNNNNNNNNNNNNNNNNNNNNNNNNNNNNNNNNNNNNNNNNNNNNNNNNNNNNNNNNNNNNNNNNNNNNNNNNNNNNNNNNNNNNNNNNNNNNNNNNNNNNNNNNNNNNNNNNNNNNNNNNNNNNNNNNNNNNNNNNNNNNNNNNNNNNNNNNNNNNNNNNNNNNNNNNNNNNNNNNNNNNNNNNNNNNNNNNNNCGUGCACCGUCGCCAUCCCCGUCCUCCGCCCGGUUGGCGUCCGGCCUCCCCUGCCUUGACGACCUGCCGGGUCCGCCGCCCCGCGGCCUCCUGGGCAUGUGCCCGCUCGGGCUAUGCCCUGCGCCCGACGCCCGUUAGCAGCCACUAGCACCCGAAACCCGCAAGGCCCCUGUGGGCCAAUGACAUGGGGGCCCAGCCCCAGAACAUUAAAAAAAGGGAAUUAAAUAAAUAAAUAAAUAAAUAAAUAAUGAAAAUAAUUAAUUAAUUAAUUAAACAAUUAAUUAACUUAAUUAAUUCUGAUUAAAUUAACCAAAUAAGAUUAUUUAACCUAAUGAUUAGUUAACCUAAUUAACUACUGUUAAUUAGCUAAUUAAUUAGUAUGACAGUGGGGCCCACCCACUAAUUAAUUUUGAUUAGAUUAAUUAAACUGUUUAAUUAAAAUGUAUCACUGACCAGUGGGACCCACUGGUCAGGUUGACCAAGUCAACUCUGUUGACUGCUGAUGUCAGCAUGACAUCAUGCUGAUGUCAUUAAUUCAUUUUCGAAUUAAUUAAUUAAUUAAUUAAAUUCCAGAAAUUAAUAAAAUCUUUAGAAAAUCAUAUCUUUUAAUCCGUAACUCGGAUGAAAAUACUUUCUACAUGAAAGUUGCUCAGAACGACGAGACAAAUCCGGAUACGCAACCCGUUCGUCCGCCGCGCACCCCUAACAUAUCAAACUCGCAACUUUCCCCCUCUGGCUCCUCUGCCCGAAAACGCGAAACACCGGGGAUACUUUCCCGGAUGUUUCCCCCUUCACCGGUAUCACCUCAUACCUCUUUAGGGCACCUCUAGCACCGAUACGUGUCUUGUCAUGCAUCGUUAUGCAUCUAUUUGCUCAAAUAUUUAUUGUUUCUUCCCCCUCUUCUCUCGCUAGACACCAAGACCGACGCCGCUGCUACCCAGUACGACUACGUAGUUGUCGACCUCUCUCUCUUGCCAGAGCAACCAGGCAAGCCCCCCUUUGAUCACCAGAUAUCGCCCACUCUUCUCUAUAUUGCUUGUAUUAGAGUAGUGUAUCAUGUUACUGCUUUCCGUUAUUCCUAUCCUGAUGCAUAGCCUGUCCUUGCUACUACUGUUGUUACCAUUAUCUGCUAUCCUACUGCUUAGUAUAGGAUGCUAGUGUUCCAUCAGUGGCCCUACACUCUUGUCCGUCUGCCAUGCUAUACUACUGGGCCGUGAUCACUUCGGGAGGUGAUCACGGGCAUAUACUAUAUACUUUACACAGUUACAUUACAUGUGGUACUGUUCGGAGUUGGGGGCUGAAGGGGCAGGUGGCUCCAUCCCGGUAGAGGUGGGUCUGGGUUCCUGACGGCCCCCGACUGUUACUUUGUGGCAGAGCGACAGGGCAGGUUGAGACCACCUAGGAGAGAGGUGGACCUGGCCCUUGUCGGUGUUCGCGGAUACUUAACACGUUUAACGAGAUCUUGGUAUUUGAUCUGAGUCUGGCUAUUGACCUAUACGCACUAACCAUCUACGCGGGGACAGUUAUGGACACUCGAUGUCGUGGUAUCAGCCGAAGCCUUCUUGACGUCAGCGACUGAGUGGUGCGCGCCGGAUUGGACCGUAAGCCUGCUCUUGUAUUAAGGGGGCUAGUUCUGCUUCCGGCCGCGUACGCAACGUGCAGGUGUGCAAUGGGCGAUGGGCCCAGACCCCUGUGCCAUAGGAUUUAGACCAGCGUGCUGACCUCUCUGUUGUGCCUAGGUAGGGCUGCGACGUGUUUAUCUUCCGAGGCCGGGCAUGACCCAGGAAAUUGUGUCCGGCCAAAUGGGAUCGAGCGUGUUGGGUUAUGUGGUGCACCCCUGCAGGGAAGUUAAUCUAUUCGAAUAGCCGUGAUCUUUGGUAACAGGACGACUUGGAGUUGUACCUUGACCUUAUGACAACUAGAACCGGAUACUUAAUAAAACACACCCUUACAAGUGACAGAUACAACCGGUGAUCGCUCUCUCACAGGGCGACGAGGGGAGGAUCAUCGGUUAGGAUUAUGCUAUACGAUGCUACUUGAUGCUACUUGGUGAACUUACCAUCUACUCUCUCCUACAUGCUGCAAGAUGGAGGUGGCCAGAAGCGUAGUCUUGGACAGGAUUAGUUAUCCCCCUCUUAUUCUGGCAUUCUGCAGUUCGGUCCACAUAUGAUACCCUUAUUCCAUUUGAUACCCAUGCAUAUGUAGUGUAGCUCCUUGCUUGCGAGUACUUUGGAUGAGUACUCACGGUUGCUUUCUCCCCCUUUUUCCCCCUUUCCUUUCUUUCUGGUUGUCGCAACUAGAUGAUGGAGUCCAGGAGCCAGACACCACCGUUGAUGACGACUACUACUACUCGGGAGGUGCCUACUACUACGUGCAGCCCGCUGUCGACAACCAAGAGUAGUUUAGGAGGAUCCCGGGCAGGAGGCCUGCGCCUCUUUCGAUCUGUAUCCCAGUUUGUGUUAGCCUUCUUAAGGCAAACUUGUUUAACUUAUGUUUGUACUCAGAUAUUGUUGCUUCCGCUGACUCGUCUAUGAUCGAGCUCUUGUAUUCGAGCCUUCGAGGCCCCUGGCUUGUAAUAUGAUGCUUGUAUGACUUAUUUUAUUUGUAGAGUUGUGUUGUGAUAUCUUCCCGUGAGUCCCUGAUCUUGAUCGUACAUGAUUGCGUGUAUGAUUAGUGUACGAUUGAAUCGGGGGCGUCACAAUCACAUUGCUCGAGGGCACCUUCGUGGACACCAUAAAGCGGUGGCAAUCGGGGUGGUUCUAUAUCACCGAGUCGCGCGCCCCGCAUGGGUAGCGGCCCCCGAGUUCCGAUCUGGCAUCCCCAUGCGGCUCACCUCCUGGAAAGAGAAGGGCAUGUCCUGGGGUAAUUCAAAAGAGCUGACCGGACUCCAGUCAUGUAUUCAGAACAUGGUGGAUAAGAAGCUCAAGCUUGUCAACAUAGUCCAGGUUAUGCUCGUUCGCCGGAUACUCCCGUGCCAACAACUGGAGUUUACCUUGUGGGAGUUCAAUCUGGCACAGCACCGAACUCUGAAUAGGCUCUUCGACACGACUCAUGAAGAUGCCUGGAGGGUGCUGUUCAAGGGCGACGCAGUCCCUCCCCCACUACUGAGGAUCGCGGAUUCAGCGCGAAGCGCCACGCCAGUGCGGUAAGUUGUUUUACCUCUUAGAGGAUAUUUGUUAUAUAUAUAUAUAUAUAUUGGCUCUAUGCGGGAUCUAAACUCCUGUAAUUUGACAGGCAGAAGAUGGUCGGACAGAUCGACUGUCCGGCUCCUUUGCCCGAAGGCCCCGCGGACGCUCUUCUGACAAAGAUGCUGACUCCGACCCCCUAUAAGGUGCCGGAGAAGACCAAGAAGGCCAAGGGAGCUCGAAAGAGUUCCCGACGCCAGGCGUCGUCGGACUCACCGUCCGAUGACUCUGCGGCGCACUCUUCCCCUGAAGACGAGGAAGAGGAAGAAGAGGCUCCCCCACCAACUGGGGGAGACAGGAAAAGGAAGGCCGCCCCAAUUGGGGAGGCCGAAGGGUCCAAGAAGGGAAGGACGCUCCUUACGGACAGCUCCACCGCCGCCGACGACAGUGAAGACGAGUGGUUGCCCAGGGGCAAGCCCCAGGGGAGAUCGUAAGUGUUCGGAUACCAAAGUUACCCAUAGGAUUCCUUUGUUGUAUUGCUUUCCCUAACGCCGAACUCAAUUGUACAGGCCGCCCUGAGCCAAUGUCGAGGUAUCCUCGGACGGCUCCCUGGGUGCGUCGGACAUGGAUAGCGAUCCAGUCCCGACGGCCACCUCCCCUCAUCCAGCCGACGACACCGAGGUGCUGUCUCAAGAGGCACCGGAUCAAGGGGGGACAUUCCCGGAGGCGCCGCAAGGCGACCUUCCGGUCUCUGGGAGCCGAGGGGACGAGGUCCCCGAGACCUCCAAGUUCGGCCCUCAGCCGAACACCGCGCCGGACCCUCCAACGGAUCCGAGCUCGGGCAGUCGGUCCCCUUCUAAGGAGGGUGAGACGCCUAUACCGGUGACCUCUGUCCACCCAGAAGCGCCGGACACUAUGUUGGAAGUGCUUCGCAGCGCUUCCAUCGAGGAGGAGCACCGAUCUAUCAUGAGUGCGGUGAUCCAGAAGGUUCAGUCCGCCAAGAGCGGAUUGACUGAAGCUUGUACUAGCCUUCUAACAGGCUUCGAGGUAAGUGUUUUAAAAUGUAGUAGAAGUGUUACUGCAUAGACAGUAGCCCCUGAUGCUUUGUUCGGUGUUCACAAAGAAAAGCCGAACAGAGGAUCAAAUAAUAUCGCAGGAGUCUAAUAUAAGUAUGUCAAUAUGCAUAUGCAGGCUUCGCUGCUGGCGUCCUCCGCACUGACUGCGGAGGUUUCCGUACUGAAGGAGGCCCUCGAGGGGUCCCAGAAAGAGCUCGGCCUUCCUAAGAGGCAGCUUGAGGAGAACAAGGGUAAGUGAUACCCCGUUUGUAGAUGAGAAAAAGGACGCGAUUGCUAAAUGACAGGAUCAUUGUAUGUUUGCCAGGGGCCACGACCGAGGUGGCGACCCUGAAGCAAGCGUUGUCCCAGGCCGAAGAAAAGGCGGCCCAGGAGCGCACCGAGCGAGAGAGGCACGAGGCUCGGGUGGGCGAGGUGCAGCAAGAGCUCCAGGCUCUCGUGACCAAGCACGAGGCGUUGGAGCUUGACUUUAAGACGAGAGAGUCUAAGCUUGCCGCAGCCCAUGAGAGCGCGAAGAGUGCCAAGGCCGAGGCCCAGAAGGCCCUUCAGGAGAUCGACGCGAUGAAGAAGAUAGCAGCAGGUAAGGCUUUCUAUAUGCAAAGCAAGCAUGUAAAGGUGAAUUAUCGAUUACUUACCCGAAUCUGGAGCUCUUCAGGAGCAUUCACAGAUUUGCCCUGCAGUGUGUCCGAUGCCGCACUAUUCUACCAGGCCGAGGACGGAAGCUCGACGGAGAAGCUGUUCUGGUCUCAGUAUGCUGAGGCCGAACAUCCGGUGCCAAUGAGCGACUAGCUGAAGCAGAUGGCCGAGCUACAUAAGGCGGCCGAUCAGGCCAUGAAGGGCUUCAUAGUCCGGUUGUGGCCUGGCGACGCCCUUCCAAACAGCUUCUUCAGCCUGGUGAGGCGGCUUGUGGAUGCCUGCCCACGGUUGGAGGUCGUCAAGCGAUCCGUCUGCAUUGAAGGUGCACGCCGGGCCUUCGCCCGUGUGAAAACGCAGUGGGUCAAGCUAGACGCCGUGAAGCUUAUCAAGGAGGGGCCGCCGGAGGGCAAGGAGUACCGCCACCCCGAGAUGUACUACGAGGGUAUUCUGCUGGGUGCCCGUCUUAUCACGGAUGAGUGUUCACAAAAUGUAAUGUUUGAAUGAGACUUGCUCGUUUUUUAUCCUGUGUAAUGAAAACUUGUUUCCUAUGCGCUAUGCAAUGCUUGUGUGAAUUUAAAAUAUUACCUUCUGUUUGGUUGUUUAUCCAAUCUGAGAGAUGGCUAGUCCUCGGCUUCUGCCCCCAUGCCACGAGUGUCGGGGUGUUCGGGAUAAACCUGAGCACUCUUUUUCCCAUGUUUGGGUCCUUCGAGGGAGGUGCUCAGCACAACGAACAAGGCAACCGGACUAAUAAUGCUUUAUCACUCUCACUUGGCCAUAGAAUUCUAUAAUUUUAAAUUUCGGCGAAGCCCCUGGUAUUCAGAAGGCCGAAUUCGAGGCGCGAUACACGCCUGUAAGCCGAACGGAGCCAGCCCCUCGCCCCUAAGCGGCAUAAGUCUUUAGGGACUCGAAAAACCUCGCCGAACAGCGACCAGUCUCUCGCCUUAUCAUGACAGUCAGUUUUAGCUUUCUCUACUGAGGUGCUCGGCCCGGCAGAACCGGGGCACAAUCGCAGUAGUUCUGCUAGCGCUACCUUAGUCGAUAGAGCGGAACAUAAGGUACCAAAACAUAGGAGCCGGGCAAACCCAACAUUUGACCAAAGACAUGAUUCGGAGCUGAUGCAUAUAAUGCUAUAAGUUCGGGGUGCCGCACUUGUGAAAGUGUUCGGACUUUUCACACCAUAUUGUGGGUAUGUAAGCCCCUAGUGCAUUGGCCGUACCAGAGUGUACGGUUGCUAGGUGUCAUUAAUGAACACAUAGAUAUGUAAACAUAUAACAAAAAAUGCGAUAAUAGUCGUAAUGUCAUGCAUUGUAUAUUAAAAAAUUGCAUUAAAGCAGAGUGAUACAGAUAGUGUAAUGAGCAAAAGAGUAGGACUAUGUCCCAUCCAAGGGCAAGCUGAGGAAUUAUGUGAAAUAUGUAAUCCACCUGGGAAUUCCGUAGUCGUCGGCCUCCUUGGUUGUUGUAUCAUGUGUUCGGCAAUAGAACUGCCGGACAGUGUUUCCAGAGAUUGAAGUCCUGAAAGAAAAAGAAAAAGGAAAAUAACCAAACGGGAAGCCCCUGGUGCAGUUUAAGCCGCGUUUUGGGACGUGUCGUAGUUGUGCCUCCCCCUCCCCAUCUGUGCCCAUGGUAUUUUUAAUGCGUAAUGAUGUAUGCACGGCACGAACAACGUCAUUGGGCUGGGGUUGGGGUGGCCGCCGUAUUGCUACGCGAGCUCAGGUCGUGCUAGGUGGUCUGUUUGCCGAUUGCCCCAAGCGCGCUUGAAGGUGUCCGGGCUUUGAAACGCCGAACUGGUAGAUUGCCUUGAAAGGCUGCUUUGCGCUUCUGCUGCGAGGGCUGCAGUGUGCUCCUCUGUUCAGAUAGAGCACUCUGUGUUUCCAUUGACUAUAAUAACUCCGUGAGGUCCUGGCAUCUUGAGCUUGAGGUAUGCAUAAUGUGGUACCGCAUUGAAUCUAGCGAAUGCGGUUCGUCCGAGCAGUGCGUGAUAACCACUGCGGAAUGGGACUAUAUCGAAGAUUAACUCUUCGCUUCGGAAGUUAUCCGGGGAUUCGAAGACCACUUCCAGCGUAAUUGAGCCUGUGCAAUGGGCCUCUACACCUGGAAUGAUGCCUUUAAAGGUUGUCUUUGUGGGUUUGAUCCUUGAGGGGUCUAUACCCAUUUUGCGCACUGUGUCCUGAUAAAGCAGGUUCAGGCUACUGCCGCCGUCCAUGAGGACUCGAGUGAGGUGAAAUCCAUCGAUGAUUGGGUCUAGGACCAAUGCGGCGAAUCCAUCGUGACGGAUACUAGUGGGGUGGUCCCUGCGAUCAAAGGUGAUCGGACAGGAGGACCAAGGGUUGAACUUCGGGGUGACUGGCUCCAGCACAUAUACGUCCCUCUUGGGGAUGUGGGUUGCGUAUAUCAUGUUCACGGUCCUCACUUGCGGGGGAAACCUCUUCUGUCCUCCAGUGUGCGGCUGUCGGGGUUCUUCCUCAUCAUCGCUAUGUGGCCCCUUGUCCUUGUUUUCGGCAAUUAACUUGCCGGCCUGCUUGAACACCCAAAAAUCCCUGUUGAUGUGAUUGGCUGGCUUGUCUGGGGUGUCGUGUAUUUGACACGAGCGAUCGAGUAUACGGUCCAAGCUGGACGGACCCGGCGUACUUUGUUUGAAUGGCUUUUUCCGCUGACCGGGUUUAGAGCCUUUGAAUCCGGCAUUGACUGUCGUAUCCUCAGUACUUUCGCCGUUAAUGCGGCGCUUAUGCUUGUUGCGAUGUGACCUGCUGUUGCUGUCCUUGGUAUCUGAGGUACCAUGGUUCUUUGAUAUGUUGUUACUGCGAGCCAACCAGCUGUCUUCUCCCGCACAAAAGCGGGUCAUGAGCGUCGUGAGGGCUGCCAUAGAUUUCGGCUUUUCCUGACCAAGGUGCCGGGCUAGCCACUCGUCUCGGAUGUUGUGUUUGAAAGCCGCUAAGGCCUCCGCAUCCGGACAGUCGACGAUUUGGUUUUUCUUUGUAAGGAACCGAGUCCAGAAUUGCCUGGCCGAUUCUUCUGGCUGCUGAAUUAUGUGGCUCAAGUCAUCGGCGUCUGGUGGUCGCACAUAAGUGCCCUGAAAGUUGUCGAGGAAUGCGGCUUCCAGAUCUUCCCAAUAGCUAAUGGAGUCCGCUGGCAAGCUAUUAAGCCAAUGUCGUGCUGGUCCUUUGAGUUUUAGUGGGAGGUACUUGAUGGCAUGUAAGUCAUUACCGCGGGCCAUGUGGAUGUGGAGGAGGAAGUCCUCAAUCCAUACCGCGGGAUCUGUUAUGCCGUCAUAUGAUUCAAUGUUUACAGGUUUGAAACCUUCUGGGAAUUGAUGUUCCAUUACUUCGUCUGUGAAGCAUAAGGGGUGUGCGGCGCCUCUGUAUUGGGCUAUAUCGCGACGCGGCUCGUAUGGGUCCUGCCCGCUGUGUUCGGCCCGGCCGGAUUUGCUUUUGCAGUAUCCGGCGUGACGAUUACCGUCUCGUAGAGUGGUGCGCCCUCGUGAUCCGUAGAUCGAUCUUGAAUGCUUUGCUUUGUCCUCCAAUAUGUCUCGCAGGUCUUGCGUAUCUCCCCAUGCCUUUUUAUUUGGAUGGCGUUGGGGCGGAGGUUGAGCUUUCGGCAUGAAUGCCUCUCUGUCGCGGCCACGAGGUGGCCGAUCAGCCGUGUCAUACGCUUCUUCCUCCAGUCGGGGUAGUAACCUGCGCCUUGGGUAACUCUUGGAGGGACGCUUGAGUUUAUAUUCCUCGGCUGCGAGGACUUCAGUCCAUUUGUCAGCUACCAGAUCUUGAUCAGCUUGAAGCUGCUGGUGGUUUUUCUUCAGGCUAUUUGUCGUGGCCAUAAGCCUGCGCUUGAAGCGCUCUUGUUCGACGGGAUCCUCUGGUACGGCGAAUUCAUCUUCGCCGAGGCUUGCCUCGUCCUCGGAGGGGGGCAUGUAAUUGUCAUCCUCCUCCUCUCCGCCAGCCGCUCUCUUAGGAGAGCUAGCACCUUCAUCCUCCUGAUCUAACUCUUGCUGGAGGGGGUUUUCAUUGUCUUCGGCGCUAUCCGGAGUGUUAUUAUCUCAUGUGCCGGUAUCACCACUUUUGCUUUGGCGGGACUUAGAGCGGCGCCGCUGACGUUGACGCUUGGGUUGCUUCUUAGAGGGGUCAUCCUCCGCUAUCUCGUCGUCGUUGCCUUCAUUGGGUGUAUCCACCAUGUAUAUGUCAUACGACGAAGUGGCUUUCCAGUGCCCUAUAGGUGCUGGUUCAUGUUCGUCUCCUACAUCGUCGUCCAUACUGUCGAUGUCUUCGGAGUCGAAGUCGAGCAUGUCGGUUAAAUCAUCGACAGUGGCUACAAAGUGGGUGGUGGGUGAGUGUCAAAUUUCUUCGUCGUCCGCAUCCCAGUCCUGUUGGCCAUGAUCCGGCCAGGGCUCUCCUGACAAAGAGAGAGACCUUAGUGAAUUCAGAAUGUCGCCGAAGGGCGAGUGCUGAAAGAUAUCCACAGCGGUGAAUUCCAUGAUCGGCGCCCAGUCGGAUUCGAUUGGCAGGGGCGCGGAUGGCUCGGGGUUCGGAGGAGAGUCCGGCACCUUGGAGUCACGAGCUGCGCAGAGGAUUAUGCUGGUGUUCGGCUCGAUCGUUGUUGAGACUGCAGCCCCUGAGGCGGUGUCUAGCCACCCGUCCUCGAUUGGUGUAGCUGGCUCCGAGCUAAGGGUCAGAGCUGGUGUGGGCGCGGCCUCUGGAGUACCGUCUGGUGGCAGAGCUAGGUCAUGCCCAUCGAGACAGUGCGGCGCGCCCGGCUGUGGCUCGAAUCCGUCGAAGAUCAAGUCUCCGCGGAUGUCGGCCGUGUAGUUCAAACUUCCAAAUCUGACCUGAUGGCCAGGGGCGUAGCUUUCAAUCUUCUCCAGAUGGCCAAGUGAACUGGCCCGCAGUGCAAAGCCGCCGAAUAUGAAGAUAUGUCCGGGGAGAAAAGUCUCACCCUGGACCGCAUCGCUAUCGAUGAUAGUAGGAGCCAUCAAGCCUAACAGCAACGACACAGAGGAACUCUCAAUGAAAGCACCAAUGUCGGUGUCAAAACCGGCGGAUCUCUGGUAGGGGGUCCCGAACUAUGCGUCUAGGCCGGAUGGUAACAGGAGGCAACGGACACGAAGUUUUACCCAGGUUCGGGCCCUCUUGAUGGAGGUAAAACCCUACGUCCUGCUUGAUUAAUAUUGAAGAUGUGGGUGUUACAAGAGUAGAUCUACCACGAGAUCAGAGAGGCUAAACCCUAGAAGCUAGCCUACGGUAUGAUUGUAUCUUGUGAUUGUUGUCCUACGGACUAAAACCCUCCGAUUUAUAUAGACACCAGAGAGGGUUAGGGUUACACAAGGUCGGUUACAGAGGAGGAGAUAUCCAUAUACAUAUUGCCUAGCUUGCCUUCCACGCCAAGUAGAGUCCCAUCCGGAUACGAGACGAACUCUUCAAUCUUGUAUCUUCAUAGUCUAACAGUCCGGCCAAUGGAGAUAGUCCGGCUGUCCGGAGACCCCCUAAUCCAGGACUCCCACACGCGUUGUUACCAAAAUUGUUCCUACCAACAAAAUUCACAUCCAUAGAUUCAUUAUUAUUCUCAAUCAAAGUAGACAAAGGCAUAUCAUUAGGAUCAGAAGAAACACUCUUAUUAGCAAAUAAUUUCAUAAUUUCAUCCAUUUUUCCACUCAAAACAUUAAUUUCUUCUAUCGCAUGCACCUUUUUAUUAGUAGAUCUUUCAGUGUGCCAUUGAGAAUAAUUAACCAUAGUAUUAUCUAGGAGUUUAGUAGCUUCUCCUAAAGUGAUUUCCAUAAAAGUGCCUCCUACGGCCGAAUCUAAAAGAUUUCUAGAAGCAAAAUUCAAUCCGGCAUAAAAAAAUUGUAUAAUCAUCCACAAAUUUAAACCAUGAGUAGGGCAAUUACGUAUCAUUAAUUUCAUUCUCUCCCAAGCUUGUGCAACAUGUUCAUGAUCAAGUUGCUUAAAAUUCAUAAUAUCAUUUCUAAGAGAGAUGAUAUUAGCGGGAGGAAAAUACUUAGAGAUAAAGGCAUCUUUGCACUUGUUCCAUGAAUCAAUACUAUUUUUAGGCAAAGAAGAAAACCAAGCUUUAGCAUGAUCUCUAAGCGAAAAAGAAAAUAGCUUCAAUUUAACAAUAUCAUUAUCCACAUCUUUCUUAUUUUGCAUGUCACAUAAAUCAAUGAAGCUAUUUAGAUGAGUACUGGCAUCUUCACUAGGAAGGCCGGAGAACGGAUCUUUCAUGACAAGAUUCAGCAAAGAAGUAUUAAUUUCACAAGAUUCAGCAUCAGUAAGAGGAGCAAUCGGAGUGUUAGUAAAAUCAUUGUUGUUGGUAUUGGUGAGGUCACACAAUUUAGUAUUAUCUUGAACCAUCUUGACAAGCAAGCAAACUAACACACAAGCAAACAAAAAGCAAGCGGGCAAAAAGAGACAAAUAGAAAAAGAGAGGGAGGAUAGAGAGAGAGGGCGAAUAAAACGGCAAGGGUGAAGUGGGGGGAGAGGAAAACAAGAGGAAAAUGGCAAAUAAUGUAAUGCGGGAGAUAAGGGUGUGUGAUGGGUACUUGGUAUGUUGACUUUUGCGUAGAGCUCCCCGCCAACGGCGCCAGAAAUCCUUCUUGCUACCUCUUGAGCACUGUGUUGGUUUUCCCCGAAGAGGAAGGGAUGACGCAGGAAAGUAGCGUAAGUAUUUCCCUCUGUUUUUGAGAAACAAGGUAUCAAUCCAGUAGGAGGCUACGCGCGACUCCCUCGCACCUGCACAAAACAAAUAAAUCCUCGCAACCAACGCAAGUGAGAUCUGAUAGAUAUGAUAAGAUAAGAUUUUUGGUAUUUUUAUGAUAAAAGAUGCAAAUUAAAAUAAAGGCAAAGUAAAUAGCAAAGAAAAUAACUAAGUAGUAGGAGAUCAAUAUGAUAAAGAUAGACCCGAGGGCCAUAGGUUUCACUAGUGGCUUCUCUCAAGAGCAUAAGUAUUCUACGGUGGGUGAACAAAUUACUGUUGAGCAAUUGACAGAAUUGAGCAUAGUUAUGAGAAUAUCUAGGUAUGAUCAUGUAUAUAGGCAUCACGUCCGAGACAAGUAGACCGACUCCUGCCUGCAACUACUACUAUUACUCCACUCAUCGACCGCUAUCCAGCAUGUAUCUAGAGUAUUAAGUUAAAAACAGAGUAACGCCUUAAGCAAGAUGACAUGAUGUAGAGGGAUAUACUCAUGCAAUAUGAAGAAAACCCCAUCUUGUUAUCCUCGAUGGCAACAAUACAAUACGUGCCUUGCUGCCCUUACUGUCACCGGGAAAGGACACCGCAAGAUUGAACCCAAAGCUAAGCACUUCUCCCAUUGCAAGAAAGAUCAAUCUAGUAGGCCAAACCAAACUGAUAAUUCGAAGAUACAUGCAAAGAAAACCAAUCAUACAUAAAAGAAUUCAGAGAAGAUUCAAAUAUUAUUCAUAGAUAGACUUGAUCAUAAACCCACAAUUCAUCGGUCUCAACAAACACACCGCAAAAAGAAGAUUACAUCGAAUAGAUCUCCACAAGAGAGGGGGAGAACAUUGUAUUGAGAUCCAAAAAGAGAGAAGAAGCCAUCUAGAUACUAACUAUGGACCCGUAAGUCUGAGGUAAACUACUCACAGUUCAUCGGAGAGGCUAUGGUGUUGAUGUAGAAGCCCUCCGUGAUCGAUGCCCCCUCCGGCGGAGCUUCGGAACAGACCCCAAGAUGGGAUCUCGUGGAUACAUAAAGUUACGGCGAUGGAAUUAGGGUUUUGGCUCUAUCUCUGAUCGUUUGGGGGUACGUGGAUAUAUAUAGGAGGAAGAAGUACGUCGAUGGAGCAACAGGGGGCCCACGAGGGUGGAGGGCGCGCCUGGUGGGGGUGGGCGUGCCCCCCUACCUCGUGGCCUCCUGUUUCCUUUCUUGACGUGGGGUCCAAGUCUCUCUGGUCUUAUUCGUUGAGAAAAUCACGUUCCCGAAGGUUUCAUUCCGUUUGGACUCCGUUUGAUAUUCCUUUUCUUCGAAACCCUAAAACAGGCAAAAAAACAGCAAUUCUGGGCUGGGCCUCCGGUUAAUAGGUUAGUCCCAAAAAAUAAUAUAAAAGUGGAUAAUAAAGCCCAGUAAUAUCCAAAACAGUAGAUAAUAUAGCAUGGAGCAAUCAAAAAUUAUAGAUACGUUGGAGAUGUAUCAGGCGUCGACUUCGACGGAACAUUCUCGCUGGUGGUCAAGUCAGCUACCAUCUGCGUCGUGCUAGCCAUCGCUGCUACACGGGACUGGCCCGUCCACUAGAUGGACGUGAACAACGUGUUCCUCCAGGGCUUCCACACCGAACGCGUCUACUGCCAGCAACCAGCAGGCUUCGUCGACGCUCGCCGCCCGACCACCUCUGCCUGCUCGACCUGUCCCUCUAUGGACUGCGGUAGGCACCUCGAGCCUAGUUCGACCGCUUCGCCGCCUUCCUCCGAUCGAUCGGCUUCGUGGCGGCGCGUGCGGACCCCUCCCUAUUCAUCCUGCGUCAUGGUGACCAAGUGGCGUACCUUCUUCUGUACGUGGACGACAUUGUUCUCACGGCCUCGACGUCUGCGCUUCUGCACCACCUUCAGCGCCAGCUCCUCCCCGAGUUCUCGCUGAAGGACCUCGGCCCUCUGCAUUUCUUCCUCGGGAUUCAGGUCAUGCGCGACCAUACAGGCUUCUUCCUCUCCCAGAGCAAGUACGCAGACGAGCUCUUGGACCGCGCCAACAUGACUAGCUGCAAGCCGGUCAGCACUCAUGUGGACACACACAGCAAGCUCUCCGGCGACGCCGGAGCGCCAGUGGACGACCCCUUGGACUACCGCAGCAUCGUCGGCGUGUUGCAGUAUCUCAGCAUGACCAGGCCUGACCUGGCAUAUGCCAUGCAGCAGGCGUGCCUCUCCAUGCAUGACCCGCGCGCACAGCACCUCGCGCUCGUCAAACGCAUUCAUUGUUACGUCCGCGGCUCCUAGACGCAUGGCCUGCACAUCGGCCGAUCGCGCUCCCUCGGCCUUGUUGCCUACUCCGACGCAGAUUGGGCCGAGUGCCCGGACACGAGGAGGUCGACGUCGGGCUAUGCUGUCUUCCUCGGCGACUCCCUCAUCUCCUGGUCGUCCAAACGACAGCCCACUGUCUCGUGGUCCAGCGCCGAGGUCGACUACCGUGCAGUCACCAACGCCGUCGCUGAAUGAUGCUGGAUUCGCCAACUCCUCGGCGAGCUCCACGCACCGCUGUCCAAAGCAACUAUGGUCUACUGCGACAACGUUUCCUCGGUCUACAUGGCGGCUAAACCCGUGCACCAUCGCCGCACGAAGCACAUCGAGCAUGACAUCCACUUUGUGCGCCAGAAGGUUGCUCUCGGCGAGCUGCGCGUCCUCCACGUUCCCAUGACGCAGCAGUUUGCGGACAUCAUGACCAAAGGGCUGCCUACGCUAGCUUUUCAGGAGUUUCAUUCCAGCUUGUGCAUCCGCCCUCCGGACGCUUCAGCUGCGGCGGGGUAUCAGCAGAAACCACCUGGUCUGCCCAUAUAGUCUAGACAGGACGUGCUCUAGCGCACGAUCCGCACUCCCUGGUGCAUGUCGCCCUUGUACACUGCGCCCUUGCUUGCGCCUGUAACCUAUUUAUACACAGUCAAUACAGCAGCAGCACCUGAGGUGCCCAGCUCAUUCUCCUCUCUCUCCCUCGCACAACAUGAACGUACAAAGCUAGCCAGAUUUGCAAUCGCCAGUGCAUGUUACAUGGCCUCGUGCAUUCUCCAACUAUCGGCUUAAUUAAAGAAUUAGUUAAUACCUUUGGCCGGUUGCCUAAACACGUGACAGAUAAGACCCAUAUUGCGACGUUGCCAGUGAUUUACUUGGGAGCAGCAGUAAUCCAUUUAGAUACGAUUUUGCACAAGAAAACCAUGUACGUAGACGCCAAGUCUGCUGGAGAUAGAAUCCUGGCCAGUUUAAACUCACACGGCUUCAUACUGCACACAUUAAUGACUGACAUUAAUACAUUAUGCAUUUAAAUACUAUAAACACGUAAGACUAACUCAAUGCACAAAUAACAUUUCAACUAGGCCUUACCUCGUAAGGCUCAUCUUCAUCACUGUCAUAUGGUUAGAACCCAGUCUUGUCCCACUUCCUCUUGUUGCCCACAGGAUCCUCCUCCUGCUAUAUUGUCAAACAAGCACAUCAAUUACAAUGAAUUGAAUUGCAGUUCAAAGAAUGUCAUUAAAAACAAAAUUGUGAAUGUGAACCACAUUGAUAUAUUGCAAGUGACCAAUAUUGUCAAUAUAUUUUCCAAUGCAAAAUAAUUUAAUAUGAAACCUACAGAUAAACAAAUAAAGCUACCUAAACAAUUUGUUUUUGCAUAAUGAUGGAAAGCUCCAAUCUAUAUUGAAAAUGUGCACUGGUUACACAUGGUAUGUACAUUUCAACAACUAAUUGAUAGACUAUAUAUUAAACUAUCUACAGCUUAAAUAGUAGGGUUAUCAACAUACAAGUUCAUUGACAUGUACAUACAAAUAAAUGUUUUCCUUAUAAAUACAGAAUUUAAACAAUCAAUCAACAGACAAAUGCUUUCCUUUAUAAAUGCUAAUGAAAAUCCAAACUGGAUUUUUGACAUUCCUUGGAUUAACCCAACACUUUUCUUUUGAGAAAAUUUCCCCCACACUACUUAAUGGAAACAUAUAGUAUAUUUUGUUGCUAGGAUCCUGCCUUGGAAUGUUUACUUCAUAGUUAUACAAUGGUGACAUCCCAACUGCAUAUUUUUGUAAUUCAUCAUAAGUAUUUUCACAAGAGGAAAAUCUCUGGCCGGGUUAAUUUUAUGAGGCUGGACAAUAGGCCUGCCUACAACAUUUGCUUUAUAAAAUUUUGUACAAGGACAAUAUUUCAAGGACAUGUUACUGUUUUUGAGACCAUCCUUCUACAAUUGUACAGUGAGUUAUCUCUUAGCCUCCUAAAUAUGAAAUUACAUCCAUUGCUACUAAUUACAUAAGCCAACUACAAAUUUUAAUAUGCACACAGACACAUUGAUCAGCUUAUCCAAACUAUGAUCAUACUUGCAUUUUCCAUUUUCAUGCACACAAUCUGAACAACAUAGUUAAUAUAAAUACAUAUACUGGAAAACUUUCUAAUUACAGGAAACCUACACAAAAUAAUAAUUAAGAUGUACCAAAGCAUUUUUUUGGGAUAAUGCAGCAAAGCUCUUACACAUAUUAACAUAAUGCAGUAGUUAAUUAGGUACAACUUUAACUAUAAAUGCAUACAUCUCCAACAAAAUCUAAAAUUUCAUUACUUACCUAGACAAAAACAAAUUAUACUAUAGAUGAAUCUUGUAUCAUCUAAAUCAAUUCAUUGGCACAUCAAAAUUAAUGCAUUUCAAAUCAAAUAUGUUUCCAUCCAGUAUCAUUGAACCACAGAUCAAAUCAAAUAAUCAUAUAUGUAUGCAGCAUUGAACUACAGAUCUAAUAAUCAUAUAUGGUCUAUCUGACCUUAAAUUUCCCCUUAAAUAAGGUGUUCAACCUCAUACUAAUUAAAAUCUAAAAGCAAAAAUUCCACUACUAAUCUAAUAAGCAUCUGGAAAAAAAACAUCUCUCAAUCCGGCUACUUCUAACCUAAUCUAAUAAUCAUAUGUGGUCCACCAUUCUUGCACGAAUCAAAUACAGAAAAACCUUAAUGCAGAGAAAACCCUACAUCCAAAAAAUCUAACCCAAGAAAUUUCUGGCCAAAAACCCUAGAAUCUAAAAACUACCAACUAAAAGGGAUAAGCAGAUACCUUCUGCUCCACCUGCUCCUCACCAGAGCCGGCCUCCACCUUCUCCACCUCGUGCGCCUCGCCAGAGCCCGCCUCCACCUUCUGCGCCUCGCCAGAGCCUGCCUCCACCUUCUACGCCUCGCCGGACAUCGCUAGAGCGGGCGCAUCUGGCUGGACUGCGCCGCUGCAGCCCACCCCCACCUUCUCCAGAUCUGUAGCGGGGGGAGCACCGCGCUGGACGCUGGCACAUCCCCUCACAAAGGUGCCCGCAGCGACCUGCCGCGCCUGCUCCACCAGAUCUGCACCCCAAUCAGGGCGCUCGCCUCCUGCGUCCGCCAUGGCGAUGGAGAGGAUGCGGUUGGGGAGAGGGAGACGAGGAGGUUGGAGAGGAGAGGGAGUGGGGAGUGGAGAGAGGGAGACGAUGCGGCGGGGAGGGGGGAAUGGUGGGCGAUGCGGCCGGAGGUGGUUGCCGUCCACAUUUAUAUGAUGGGACAGUUUUGGCAACUACCCGUGACACAUGUUGCCCACGCGCGGGCGGCUGCACGCGUGAACGAAACGCGCCAUAUAAAAAUAUGUAUAUGGCCGGGCAUACGAUCUAACCGGGCCCGUACGUGCCUCCCAGGGCUCCUCGACGGCUAUAUGCGGGGGCAACAAAGACAAUCGUGCCCUUCGUUAUGAACUGUUUUUGGUUCAUCCUGACCGUCAAUGUGUUUUUCCACCUCGCAUUCAGCCCAGGGGAAGCACCGGAGCAGAAACGGUGUCCCGUCUUUUUGGCAGGGGAAAUUUAACCUGGGCUAUCUACAAGACGACAUCAAACGGACCGCCCUGACUGCGCCUUGCGCGGCGCGCUUGGGCCGGGGACGACCAGGGAUGACCCCGCCUCCGGGCUUGCCGCCGCUCUCCUCCCGGAUGGAUUUCAAAGCCCCGGACCACAGCAAUCCUCGUAUGCCCGGUUGGCGGUCGUGUCUCAAGCUCGACGGCAAGAACGAUGUGUCAGGUACUCAGGCGCAACCACGCCGCACGACGAACUCCUAUCGUGCUUCGUGCCUGUCGGCCGUGACACCAACAGUCCCUCCUUGGGCACAACCAACCGCAGCUUCACAUGCCAUGGUUUCGCCUUGUCCGUCCUGUCGCCGCCGGAGCGCGCAUUGCCAAAUGUUCGACGAAAUGCAUAAGCUAACUGUAAGCUUUACUCCGCUAAAUUUAGAGGAUCGGAUAGAACGGAUCAAAAAUUAGUAAAGUAAAUAUACUCUACUAAGAUUUACUCGGCCGGAUCCUUCUCUAUUUUUUUAGGGGAUCGGCUAGAGUUGACCUUAGCACCGUGAGAUAAGCUUCGGCGAGAAAGCAGCAUAAGAUAAGCAGGCCCUCCAACACACACACAACCAAAGUGGCCGUCGGAAAAGCUUGGGCCUGUCUCUGAGGGUUGUUGCCGCGCUCGAUGCCAUCUGUCUCGUCAACCAGGCCACCUCUAGCGACGACGAAGGCACACAAAACAAUGAGGACGGGAGACUCUGCCACCGGCGAGAGGCAGGGGAUCCCAGUGGUGUGCUUGCCAGCGAUGAAGACCGCGGCAUGACCCAGAUGCGAAGGAUGCCAGUGGACGAUCUAUUCGCUGGCCCCAAGAACCUAGGUAACUAAUUUAUUUGAUCUCUUUACCUCCCGGUUCGACCACCUCCGUUGCCAUCUGCUUUAGUUUGUUGCCUUACCAACGAAACUUCGAAUCGACUUGUGUGCUAUGCCGAUCCCCAAAAUGUCAUGCCGCUUCUGUACAUGAAGCUUUCUUUGAGUUCUUGCCUUCUUAUACCGAAUUGCAUCUAAGAUGUUGAUCGCAUUUGGUUUUGUCCUUACCAAGUGUUGCACUAUUCUUCAGAGAAACUCCACAGUGCAGUACUUGUUGUGCCAAACUGCAUUUAGAAGUGUCAGUUUUCUAUGAAGCUUUGAUCAAAUAACCAUGUUACCACGCAUACGCACACACUCACCAGGUUCAUUCAUGAUUAAAGGAGUGAUCAUCCAACUUCGAAGAUGGACAGGGGAGUGAAAAGGACAACGAAACAAUGCAUUGAACUUUGAUGAAAGAUGAACACCAUCGACAGGCGUUUAUUCAAGGAAACAAAUGCGGUUAGCAGGAACCCGCAAGCACUGCCCAAGACCUCGCUAAUGUGCUGGAGACAUCAAAUUACACACCCUUGGUAUCACAGAUGCAGCGGUACAGCUCAUCAUUGCGAACACGGUUCAUCUGAGCGGAGAUCCAACGGAUAUGGCCCUUCAGUUUGUACUCCUCAAUGAGUCGGGUUGUAAGUGAGAUCUUGACUUAAUAGGAAUGAUUGACUUUUUUCGGGAGCUCAUUCGCAAAGAACUCCGAUGUUAAGUGUGCUUGGCUUGGAGCAAUUUAAGGAUGAUGACCAAGUAAAAACUUUUUCCGGGAUGCACACGAGUGAGGAUAAAGUGUGCAGAAAAGACUAGUGUUGGCUUGUAGGCCCAGUUUGGAUCCCGCAAGCCGCCAUGCAUCGCUACCGCAAGACGCCACACACCGCUGCUGCAAGCCGUUGGGGCGCCAGUGAUGCGAGUCGUCUCCGGAGUUGUAAGUCGUCACCCAUCGCUACUGCAAGGCCGAUGUUGUAAACUCACCGCUAGAGUUCUCCAACGGGACAACACCUGGUGAUGCGAGGACACCAUCCCAUGCGUUGUUGCGAGCUUGUUCGGGUGUGCUGCAAGCGAGCUGGAGUUUGCCACGAGGUCACCAUCGAUGCUAGAAUGGCGGCCGAGAGAAUAGUGGGGCUUUGCUGCGAACCUAUGGUGUGGUUGUUGCGAGCUUUGCCAAGCAGUGCCGUGAGUGAGCAAGAAUUUGUUGUGCUGGGGAGCGGCUGAGGUGAUGCUCUAACCAGCGGCCAUGGCUUUUGCGACCACGGGCAACUAGUGUUGUGAGUUUAGGUGGCUAGUGCUACUACAGUGUGCCAAGCGUAGCCGACCAGGUGAUGCGACAACGCUUCUAUGGCAUGGCUAGCAGUGUUGUGUGUGUGUGUUGCCACGGUUAUGUUCGGACAAUGGCGGCAAUGCUUCCGCGGUAGUAAUCGGUGCGGCAAUGAGUGGAGCUGACGUGUUCCGCAACGGACGCUGCUCGAGCCAACGAGGAAAGCGUGUAGGAGGAAGAUGCAGUGGGAAAUACGUAUGGCGAGAGAGACGAUGGACGUUGUUGAGCAAACGGCUUACACGACCGCAAUCAAGGGCAGAUGUGGGGGUGAUCUUUCCCUCGUACAGCCGGUUGGCGCCUAGCGCCGCCCUCCAUUUUCUCCUUGCAAAAAAAUCUCUUUACGGUGAACAAAGCAGCUUAAGAUAAGCGGGCCGCCUGGGAAUUUGGACGUUCACCCUCGGCCGCUGAGCACACGCCCCACACAGAGUGGUCAUCAGAAUGUGUCCUCCGCCUCAGCGCCUGUAGUGUCAAGUAAGGCAAACGGCGCUCACGUAGCCGCUUAUUCGGGUCGGCCCAAUAAAUAGUUUCCUACCCCCGCUCGCUCGCUACUUGCAUGCCUCCUUUUUGCUCCCUCCUCACUCUUCCCGGUUGAUAGUCAACUGUUGACCAUUCGAUCAUUGACUUAAAAAAAUUCAUGAAAAAGGAGAAAAAAUAAAAAUGUUUUUUUAAUUUGAAACGAAAAUCAUGAAAUUUGAAAAAAAAACAGAUCAUGAAUUUGGGAAAAGGUUCACAACUUUGAAAAAAAAGUUCAACUUUUUUUAAAGAAGUCCGAAAUUUGGACAAAGUUCGACGAUUAUGAAACAAAGGCACGAACAUGAAAAAAGUUCACAAAUUUAAAUAAGGUUCAUGGAUAUUUUUCCAAGUUCAUGGAUUUUUAAAAAUGAUCAUUGUUUAGCAAAAAAUAGUUCACGAAUUUUAAAGAAAAUCAUUAAUUUUGGAAAAGUUUCAUGAAUAAUUUAAAAAAGAUCACAAAUUUGAAAAAUGUCCAUGGAUUUAUAAGAAAGUUCGUGGAUUUGGAGAAGCCCAUGAAUUAAAAAACGUUCAUGCAUUUAAAAACAAGAAUAAUAAAAAAGAAAGAAAAAGGAACCAUAAAAAUAAAAUGGAAAAAAGAAACAGAAAAUAAAAACCCGAAUAAGAACCGUACAAAAAAUAACAACAAAGACUUUAGUCCCAAACAAGUUGGGAUAGACUAGAGGGAAAACCCAUAAGAUCUCGCAACCAAACCAAUUCAUGGCUGUGGCAUAUGGAUAGUAAGCUUCCACGCACCUCUUGUCCAUAGCUAACUUUGCUGAUACUCCAACCGUCCAAAAAACCGAAAAAAGAAAUAAACACCGAAAGCUUUCAGAAUUUUCCCAAAACCUGGAGCUUUAGCGGGUGCUUCAGUUGGUGGGCCGGCCCGUUCUGUCUUGCCAAUCUGGCCACCUCUAGCGGCGAUGAGGACGGGAGACGCCACCGGUAGCAGAGGUGCAGGCAAGGUUUCCUCCACACACAAAAAAAAGGUGCAGGCAAGGAACCCAAUCGGUGUGCGCGCCGGCGGCGGCACGGCCCGGAGGCGCCGGAGGCGAGUGUGCGAUUUAUCCGCCGGACACGGAAACCCUAGGUAACUGACUAACUUUCUCUUCAGCGGCAUCUCUUUACAUCCCGAUCCUCCUAUCUCCAUCGCCAUCAGAUUUUGCAGGCUUGAGUGGAUUACCAACGGAAAUUGAAUUGACUGUGAUCAACGCCAAUCGCCAAAAAAAAAAAAUUAUGCCCUCACCUCCUUUUUUUUAUGAAGGACGUUUUUAUUAACUUAAAAUGUUGCCCUCACCUCCUUUUGACAAAGAAAAUAUAUAUUAAUAUCACGAAGAUACUAAUUACACCCGAAUUCUGUACGAACAAGAUGUCCAAAGGCAUAAAGAUACACAACCAAAAAAAUUAAAAAGAUAGAAAAGAAAAUUUGUGCCACGUUGAUGAAUCACUAGCAUUAGCAACCCUCUAACCAUCAUCGAAGACAACACUCGAAAUACAAAAGGGGUUUUCCAAAAGCAACGUCUUCAAAAAGAAAACAAUGCACAAGCAUUGUCUCGAUUGAAGAUCUUGGGUUUUCACCCUGAGAAAAGUCUGAGUUCACCCAAAAACAAUGCCUUGAAAAAAGGCCAUUGCCAUUUUAUAACCAAUACAAGCCAGAUCUUGAGUUUUGCUCCAUCGAGACUCGGUACUCGACGAGCACCAUGAAGUUUUCUUUGAGUUCUCCAUCUGACAUCGACCACAAUUCCAAAGGCUGUGUGUCACUUGGUUGUGUCCAUGCCAAGAGCUGCUUUAUGCUUAAGAGAAACCCUACUCAGGAGCACUUACUAUCCCGAAUUGCAUUAAGGUACUCCCUCCAUCCCAUAAUAUAAAAGCGUUUUUGACACUACAAAGUAGUAUUUAGUUUCCGGAGAACUUUGAUCACAUAACCAAUGUUACAGUGCAUAGGUUGUUGGCAUUUGGUUUUGUCCUUGCCAAGACCGGCACUAUUCUUCAGAAAAACUCCACAGUGCAGCACACAUCAGUGAAGCUUUGACCAAAACCACACACACACCAGGUUCAUUCAUGACAAAAGGGGUGAUCAAAUAAUUUUGAAAGACAGAGAAAUGAGACAGACAACGAAACAUUGCAUUGAACUCUGAUGAAAGAUGGAACACCAUGGGCAGGCGUUUAUUCCAGGCAACAAAUGCGGCUGGCAUGAACCAGCGAGCACUGCCCAGGACCUCACAAAUGUGCCGAGACAACAAAUUAACACACUCCACGACCAGACCAAAUGAAAACUACGGCAGACAAAUCAUAACGCAGCCGACACUUCACCCUCCCGCUGAAUGCGCCUCUUCAUGCCCCAUUGCACCGGGCUAG